AUCAUCUGCCCCAGGAGUUGAAAACAGUACUUGAUCCGUCUGAAGCAGGCCUCGGUUACAUUGCAGAUUGGAGUAGUAGUUACUGUCAAAGGCAUCCGGUGUUGUGAGAUCAAGAUCUGUUAUCACACUCUCAUUUCCACCUUGGGGACAUAAUUCCUGAAGAGCUGCUAGAAGAGUUGGGUCCAGUGAUGGGUCAGGAGCACCGGUGCUGUUGAAAUCAUACAAUCGGAAGUCGAAUGUAGAGCAUUUUGCCCUCCCAAAUGUGUGAGCACCUGAGAAGAUAAAAAGGAAAUUGCAUCAAAGGAGAAUCAAUAAUAACAGUGUUUUACGGUUUAGAGCUGAGCCUGACAAAUAAUACUUACCAGAUAGAGCUACCAAAUCACUAUUAUUAUUAAGGCCGACAUUAGUGAAGCUCUCUCUGAGUUGAUCAAGGGUGAUAUUUGGGGGUGGAAGGAAAGCAUUUGCUGCAUCUUGGCUUGCUGUUGUGCUAUCUCUUCUUCCUAAAGGAACUGUCCAAUUUGGACCUCCUGCCUGCAACCAUGCAUAGUUAGGGGGUUACUACUUUUCAACUCUUUUAACUCCUUUUGUCCAAACCUUCAUUAAGUCAUGUAAAAAAUCAAGUAAAUCUCAGCUUCUUUCUUUCUUUCAAUUAUGACAAACUAUGAUAUAUGUGUUCUUCGUGCUUUGACUAGAAUAUUUAGACAACAAGAUAUCAUUUUAUGAUUUGGGGGGUUGAGGGAUCGAUCAUUUUAAGAUACCAAGCAAACAGAUUCUUCAGCUGCAAUAGCGAGUAUAUCAGCACAGGAAACAGUAGCAGGACAGGCACUCUCCAACAAAGCCUUCAUUCUAUCAACAACUUCAAAACCUCUUGCAGAGUUGUUGUUCCCUCCGGCUUCCUUUUCGCUCACUAUAGUAUCAGAAUCGUCCAACAAAAGCGAACCAUCGCAGCCCUGAAAAUAAAAUAAAAAACUUGAGAAUCACAACUUAGAUAGAAGGUUUAAUGUAAUUAAGCAAAUAUAAGAUGUUUCAAAGUAAUUACAUUAACAAAGCAGUCAUGGAAGUGGAGCCUGAUGAGGCUGGCUCCAAUCCGAGGAUCGGAUGCCAAUGUCUCCGUAAUCACAUUACGGAUAAUGCUGCUCACAUUUGGACAUGUCUUGUCAUAAAAUGUUGGAGUAAGCUGGCCAUAAGCCAAUGUUCCUCCAAGCAAAACUACAAAGAAAAGAGCUGCAACUAUAGCCUUAGAAAGACGCAUUUUUCUCCAAUUUCUCCUAUGAAAUUGUUCUUGUCAAUGUUAAAACUUGCAUGGGAACUCAACGAUGUUAUAGUUUAUAUAGUGAUAAAGAGGUUUGGAAGCUAAGACGCGGUGCUUUGAAUUUUUUAACAAGAAUAGCGGUGCUUUGAAUGUUUUAUCAAGAAUAGUAGCAGGUGAGGUGUUUGAGAUAGUGAUGUUUGAUUUUUAAAAUGUUUUUUAUUUUAAAAUGUAUUAAAAUAAAAUAUUUUUUUAAUUUUAAAAAUUUACUUUUUAUAUCAGCAAAUCAAUUUAAUUGAAAUAAAAAGAAUGUUUCAAAAUUUUGAAAAUUUUAAUUGAAUAAUUGUCGAUAAUGACAUGUUUCUCAAGUGAUAUUAGGUGUUGAUCAUAAAAAAAAAGGGGUGGCGGGCUACAAAGUUGAAUAGUAAAUUUAUUAAAUUCAACUUUAAUAUGCCUGACUUUUAUUUGUGGAUGUUGGCCAGCUUAGCUAAAGUUCAAUAGAAGGAUCUAAAUUCUACUAUCCUAAUUAAUAUAUAGAGCUUCAACUUAGGCCUGUUUGUUUUCUUGGAAACUGGUUUCUGGAAAUCAAUUUCCAAACUUUCUUGUGUUUGUUUGUCAUUAGAAAAGUUGGUCAAUGGAAAACAUUUUCCGGUCAAUGGAAAACACUUUCCGGUCAACGGAAAAUACUUUUCAGUCAAUUUUAGUCAAUGAAAAAUUUGAUUUGGUUUUCAGGAAAAUGUUUUCCCUUUAGCUGUGUUUGUUUUCCGGAAAGUGGUUUCCGAGAAAUCACUUUCCAAACUUUCUUGUGUUUGUUUGCCAUUAGAAAAGUUGGUCAAUGGAAAACACUUUCCAGUAAAAGGAAAAUUUGGCUUGGUUUUCAGGAAAGUGUUUUCCUAAAAAUUUUAGGGGAAAACACUUUCCGGAAGUUGUGAAAAAUUUAGAAAUGUCAUUAUUUGCUGAUUAUAUCAAAUUUGAUCCUCAAACUUUUGAUCGCUAUAUAUAUUUUGUUUUUAAUAUUUAUUUUCAAUUUCAUCUCUUAAAAUUUUAUUUUUAUAUUAAUUUUGGUCCUUAUUUUUAUAAUUGUUAUUUGCUUUUUUCUUAUUAUUUUUUUAUUGAAAAUUUUUAUCUAUCAGAUUUGGUUAUCAUUCUUUUGAUUGUUACUUAUUUUAUUUGAAAUAAUUUAUGAAAUGUUGAUUAUUAUUAUUUUAAUUUUUUAGAUUUGAUCUUUAUUAUUUUGAUUAUUAUUUAUUUUAUUUGAGAUAAUUUAUGAAAUUAUAUUUUUUUUUUCAAUUUCAUUCUCAUUCAACUUUUUAAUUUGUAAGAUUUGUUUCUUAUUAUUUUAAUAAACUUGAGAAAAAUAAAAUGUUAAUAAGUUAUUUUCCAGCUCAUUUUCCAUGACAUAACCAAACACUGGAAAGUGUUUUCCAGCUUAUUUUUCCUUACACUACCAAACAUCGGAAAAUAAUUUCUCGAAAUUCACUUUCCCCGAAAUUCAUUUUCCAAAAAAAAACUACUUUCCAGCAAACAAACGGGGCCUUAAUGAUUACGAUUAUUAUGAUUUAACCAAUCUUAAAUUUCUUAAAAUACGAGUGUCUUUACCGUCUAAUACAUGUUUAAGAAAGUUUCGAGAAAAUAGCAUUGUUCUAAAAAGAUUUUGAAAAUAUUACAGGUAAAAUCUGAGAGUUUUUUUUUAUAUAUAUAUAAGAAAAACAAAACCUUAGUUCUCAUCACCUAUAGUUUUUUAGAAAACUCUUUAGCUUUUUUAUUGGUUGUCCUGUUUCUGAAAUAUUUUUUUGUGCGAGUUUACUAAUUUAUCUUUAAAAACUAUGCUAUUUUUUUUUAAAAAAAAAACAAUAAAAAAUUGAAAAUAUACCAUUUGGAUUCCAAUUACAAGUUUUUGUUCAGAAAAGUAGAGUUUUCUUUUCAUUAAAAAAUAUAGCUCAACAGGUUAAAUUUUUUAUUUGCUUUCCAAAAUCAGUAGUUGAAAUGCCAUCAAUUUUAGAGUUACUAAAGAAUUAAAUAGUUAUUAAUUUUAGAACCUUAAGAAAUAAGUUGAUAUAUACAUAAAUUGACUUGAACAUCUACGAUUAAAAUAAAAAAUAGCAUGAUAUAACUCCUUGAUUGUAAAAGAGUCGUUGGAGAUUAAAUUUCCUCGAUCAAUACCUUAAUAAAGAAAACACAAGCAAGAAAUUUCCUCGAUCAAUAUUUAUCAAAUAGCCCAAUAAUAUUUUUUUAUUUUUAUUUUAUGACUAUUCCUUUUGUAAUAGCUACUCUUCUAUGCAUAUGGGGCCUAUACAUUCUUUUGGUUGUUACUUAUUUUAUUUGAAAUAAUUUAUGAAAUUAUAAUAAUAAUUAUUAUUUUAAUUUUAUCAUGUUUCAAUUUUUUUAUCUGUUAGAUUUGAUCUUCAUUAUUUUGAUUGUUAUUUAUUUUAUUUGAGAUAAUUUAUGAAAUUAGAAUUUUUUUUUAAUUUCAUUCUCAUUCAACUUUUUUAAUUUGUAAGAUUUGUUCCUCAUUAUUUUAAUUAAAUUGAAAAAAAUAAAAUAUUUAUAGGUUAUUUUCUAGCUUAUUUUCCAUGACAUAACCAAAUAUUAAAAAAUAUUUUCUAAUUUAUUUUUCAUGAUUCACUUUUCAAUAAUUUAUUUUCUAGAAAAAUCAUUUUAAAAAAAUUAUUUUCCAACAAAUAAACAUGGUUUAAAAAUGAAAUUAUAAAGGUAAAGUUUAUCUUACAUAGAGAGUACCUAGUAUGAAGGUUUAUAUUAAAUUAAUAUCUACAAAAAGGAGAAAAACAUUGUCAACAGGCCAAACUAUGAAGCAUAAUUUUGAAAUCGACCUGUUCGAUGGACUAAUCCAGGGCUGGAACCGAGCCGGGUUGAAAAAAAAUAAAGGAAGGAAAAACCCGGUGUGACCCAGCGACCCGGCCUCAAACCCGUUGAUUUUUUUUAGUAAAAUGAUUUUAAUUUUUUUUAAAUAAAAAAAUUUAAUCUAGUCAAGAUUUAAAACCCGAAUCUUAAACCGGAUCUGGUUUUAAAACUAUGCUGUGAAGGAAGAAAUUUAAAGCAGUACUAAAGCAGCAGAGGAGGUCAAUAUCACCAUCGAUUUCCUUUCUCCAGAAGCAGGGGUUUACCACCACAUCAACACCCAUCUUCCCCGAUCUCUUCAUCUCCUUUAGCACUGAAGAGAAACCGAACGGUGGAGCAGAGAACACAGACAGUAGAGGAGGUCAGCAUCACCAUCGAUUUCCUUUCUCCAGAAGCAGGGGUCUACCGCCACAUCAACACCCAUCUUCCCCGAUCUCUUCAUCUCCUUUAGCUCUGAAGCUUCCUCCAGCAGUGGCCAACACACGGCAGCCCCUACAGAACCAAAAUGAGAUAAAUCUCAAAGAGAAAGAAAGACUCGAACUUGUGUAGCAGAUCUGGACCGAGAUCCAGCCGCCAUCAGCGCUGGCGAUGCCCAACAACCAGAUGUGCUACAGGGAUGAACUCUCGGGCAACAAACAGUGACAGACUCGAAAGAAGCCAAUCUAAAGGAGGAGAAGGAAAAAACCGCAGAUUGUGGAAAAAAGACAAUAAUCGAAACUCAAUUAAGAAGAAAUCAUCGCACAAACAAUCUCCCGGACCGGUUGUUGAUUUGGAUCCUUUCCCAAUUGAGGAUGGAAGACUACGGGAAAGAGGAGAUUGGUUGGGGUGGGGAUUGAAGCUGUGAUUUGGGAUCGGUUCAGUUUAUCAAGCAGACUUCAAGAGGUAAGACCCUAUACAAUAACAGUAACAACAAAGAGAACUUUUCAACCCAGCCAUGGAGGGGAAAGCUCUCUCUAAAAAAGCCCAGCCACCGUUCCAGACAAACUUAAUUCCUUCUCACAAACACAAAAAAGAACUUGACCUUCCAUACAAGCCAUAUUACCCCCAGCCUCAGCUACCAUCCAUCACCUUAAACACUCAGACUUCAACAAACUACCGUGAUUUUCAACUACAAUGUUACUUUGAAAACUUCCCAAGUUGGGUCGAUUACCAUAAGCUUAAAGACUGUUUCAGAAAACAGGGGAAAGUUAUUAAGCUGUUUGUUUCUCGAAAAACAAAUCAAGCAGGAAAGCAUUUUGGCUUCGUCACCAUCCUCUCGAAUCUGUCAGACAAAACUCUGCUAGAAUGCUUAAAUGACAUAUGGUUUGAUUCCUACAAGCUGAGAGUUAAUGUGGCUAAGCACAGAAGAAAAGAUGAAGUGACGAAACAGAAAAUAAUGGGAACCGGGAAACAAAUACCCAAGCUCAACAACAAAGCCAAGGCCCCCAUCCGUGUAAGAGACAACCGAAGCUAUCUUGAGGCAGUAAGAUCAGGGAGUCAAGUGCAUCAAGCGUCUGAUAAUGCCACACCACGUCCUCAUAACUUCAUUUCUUUCAACACUACAGAUGAGGAAAUUCUAUGGUUAAGAAAUAGUCUUAUAGGCAAGAUAUCUCAGGAGUAGAUUAUGCACAAAUCAGACAUGGAUUAAUUCAGCUAGGCAUUUGCUUCUCUGCUUUCCGUUUCCUAGGGGGAUCACAGGCAAUCAUAAGCUUUGAUGGUGAGAAAUCUAUGCAACAAGCCAUGCAGAAAGGUAUGGAAUGUUGGAGGCUCUACUUUGAUGAAAUUCACCCGUGGACUGAAGAAGAUGUGACAGAGAGUCGUCUAGCAUGGAUCUCUAUCUCUCAUUUGCCUAUCUCUGGCUGGAGUUUGAGAUGUAUCUCAAACCUUCUCAUGAACCAUGGACGGGUGAUAGGUUUUGACAAAACCAGCCUAAAAAUCUCUGAACUUCACAGUGUGAAAAUCCUUAUAGGUACUCACUUGCCGGAGAUCCACGACUCUAUAGCUCUCAUGCUAAACUCCAAGUUAGUACACAUACAGCUGGAUGAGAUUGACCUUUUAAGAUAUCCAGAGGCAAAAGGAAUUUCAUACUCGAUGGCAGAAUUUCAAACCACAUUACUUCAGGGAGAUAGUGCUGACAGUGACUCAGAUGAUGAAGUGUACACUAAUCUGGCUUUUGACUUGGCAGGAGAUGACAACAUUUGCAGGCUAGGUAUCGCUGAUAAGAAUUGUGGAUCUGAUGACAAGGGACAUAUGAUGGAGGUAAGGAAGCACAACCCACAUGGGACACAUGAGGUCUACGAUCAUAGCUUUGCGGCCACAAUAAAUGCCAUUGACAACACAGAACGGCUACAUAUCGUUGUUGAAGAUCUCUUUCCAGAAAUAGUUGCUCCUAGGACUCCCCACCACUAUUUCUCUACCAACAAGCUUUCCCAAAAUCAACUCCAACCAGAGCGGAGCCUUGUCUUAUACGAUGUGAAUUCAGCAAGCCCACUAGAGCAUCCAAGCAUGGCUUUCAAAAGAGACUCCUUCUUGCCACAACCUUAUACCCCUGUUAGCAGUGAUGAUUCUUUAGAAUCCCACUUCAAAAUCCAAAGCCUGCCUCUUACAUCUAACCAACAACAGACCCCAACAGCCAAACAACCAAGACUAAAGAAAAUAUCCUCUACUGGGAGUCUCCUCUCCUUGCACUCUUCAGCAAGCAUAUCUUCUAUAGACUCUUACAUCAGGGUGAAUAAUACCCGUAACCUGAAAGAAUAUGCAGCGGAAUCGUCCCACAAUGAAGUCAACAAAAUGAUCCAUUUGGGAGAAGCUUUGGGUCUUGGUAAUUCAGCUCUCUUGGAACAAUUUUCUGGUCUUAUCAUAAGACAGCUAGAAAAGGAGAAGGAAGAUUGGCAGAAACAACAAUGAAUAGUAAGUUUUCAUCCCUGCAGAUAGGCCUUUUAAUUCUGUCAUGAAUAUUCUUUCUUGGAAUUCCUGUGGCUUGGGCAUGAUGAGGAAACGAAGAAGAAUCACGAAAUUAAUAGCAGAAUAUAAGAUUGAUAUAUGUUUCAUGCUGGAAACUAAGCUAGCUAAUUGUUCCAUUGGUUUUGUAUCUCGUAUUUGGAAUGAAAAUCAUGUGAGUUGGUUUAGUAAUGAUGCUCAAGGAUCAAAAGGAGGUCUGCUUGCUAUGUGGAAAAACACUAACUUUGAAGUCUCUAAUAUUGAAUAUGGUCAUGGUUGGAUCGGUUUAUAUGGUAAACAUGUUCACAGUGAUUUUCAUUGCUUUGUUAUUGGCAUCUAUGCUCCUUGUAACUAUCAGGACAGACAAAAACUUUGGGAGGAUCUCAUUCUUCUGAAGCAUGCUUUUGAAGUUCCAUGGAUAAUAGCAGGAGAUUUUAAUGAAACGCUCUCUCAGAAAGACAGAAACAGUGGAAUUUGUCAUCCUGCAGGCUCAAAUUCUUUUAGCAGAUUCCUGCAGUCUUGUGAGCUCACUGAAUACCCUUUAGCAGAAGGUUAUUUUACCUGGUUCAGAGGAAGGUCCAAGAGCAAACUAGAUCGAAUGUUCGCAAGCUCAACCUACCAUCUUCACUUCCCCAGUUUAUCUCUUCGACGACUUCCAAGAGAGUUCUCAGAUCAUUGCCUCUAAUUCUAUGUAGCUUCUUGCAAGACCAUGGAUGGCGUCCUUUUCGUUUCUUGGACUGUUGGACUCAAUACCCAAAUUUCAAGCACAUUAUUGAAAGCUUCUGGAAUGAUGCAUGCUCCCUUCACCCUGGCCGCUUUAAAUUUCUCAAAAAGCUUAAUCAUAUUGCAGUCAAAUUGAGGCAAUGGAAUAAGCUUGUAUUUGGAAAUCAAGAAGCUGGCCUUCAACGAACCCUUUCAGCUAUCAACAUACUAGAGGAAAAAUGUGAAGAAGAAGGUUUAACCGACCAAGAGCAGGAGCAUUUAGACUUUUUGUUGAAAGACCGGGUUCGCAACAAUCACAUUGAAUCUAUUUGGAGGCAGAAAUCAAGACAGAUGUGGUGCAAAUUGGGUGACAGAAAUAACAAGUUUUUUCACAUGAUUGCCAAUUUCAGGAAGGCUAAAUCAUCAAUACUUAAAAUCCACCAUAAUGGCAACACUUUUGACUCUCAGCAGGGAAUUAAGCAGGCUGCUGUGGAUUAUUUCUCUGAGCUGUAUGACUCCCCUCUGGUAAAAAGCCGCAGUUAAAUCCUUUGGGUUUCAAAUGUCUCUCUAAAGAAUCCUCUGAAUGGUUGGAGCAAGAAAUCACAAUGGAAGAAGUGAAGCGCGGUGUAUGGGGUUGUGAUGGGUCAAAAUGUCCUGGACCAGAUGGUUUCAACUUCAAAUUCUACAGAUUAGCAUGGGAUUUUAUUGCUCAAGACAUUCUCGAUAUAGUCUUAAGCUUCUUCAGAACAGGAAGGCUUCCCAAAGGAAUCAAUACAACCUAUAACUCUCCUCUCCAAGACAGUCGAACCCAUUGAGUUUAAAGAUUUUCGGCCCAUCAGCAUGAUUCAUGGUAUUUAUAAGAUCAUUGCUAAAAUCCUUGCAUCUAGACUGAAAGCUGUUAUGCAAGAUAUCAUUAGCAUUAACCAAUCAGCGUUUAUAGCAGACCGUAACAUUAUAGAUGGCUUUAUGAUUGCAAAUGAGCUGGUGAGUGAUCUAAAAAGCGAAAAGCGGCAGGUUUGAUUUUCAAGAUUGAUUUUCAUAAAGCUUUCGACUCAGUCUCCUGGGAUUACCUAGAUGAUAUCAUGGGUUAUAUGGGGUUUGGCAGAAAAUGGAGAACCAUGAUUUAUGAAUGUCUUUCUUCAUCAAAACUCUCGGUCUCAUCAAUGGAUCUCCUUCAAAAGAAUUCUCUGUUCGGCGAGGGCUGCGUCAAGGAGAUCCAAUUUCCCCUUUUCUGUUUGACAUAGCUGCUGAGGGCCUCUCUGUCUCUUUCAAAGGGCAUCUAGUGGGAAUAUUAUCAAAGGGCUGCAAUUUGCAUCAGGAAUUUUUGUCAGCCAUCUUCAAUAUGCAGAUGACACAUUAAUAUUCAUCCGGCAGAUAUUGAUCAGUUAGUUCAAGUCAAAAGAAUUUUAAGAUGGUUUGCUCUGUCUUCAGGCCUUCAUAUAAACUUCCAUAAAAGCUCCAUUAUUGGUAUCAAUGUCGAUGAUCACUUGUGCUUGCGCUUGGCUACAUCUAUUUUCUGCAGAUCAGACUCUCUCCCAAGCACAUAUCUUGGCAUGCCAUUAGGAGCCAAUCCAUCUCGUAUCUCUACAUGGAAGCCAGUGAUAGAGAAGUUUCGUAAAAGGCUUCAUAUAUGGAAGGGGAGACUACUAAGCAUGGCUGGUCGUCUAUGUCUCAUUAAAAGUGUCCUUAAUUCCCUGCCUAUAUAUUUUUAUGUCUGUAUUCAAGAUGCCAAAAGGGGUAGGCAGGCUUCUUUCAUCCAUCCAAAGACGUUUCUUGUGGUGUGGAUGUACCAAGCAAAGAUCUUUCUGCAAGAUCCAAUGGAGAAUAGUGAUGCGCGAUAAGAAACAAGGCCUCGGUGUAGGCUCCCUUAUAUCAAAAAACAGAGCCCUGCUUCUAAAAUGGAUUUGGAGACUCUCUUCCCUAGGUACAAGCUUAUGGAAAAUGAUUAUCUCUUCAAUGUACAAUCCAUCUUAUGAGAAUGGGAUCCCAAUUUUCUACAACCCCAUCCAAGAUAUGGAAGGAUAUUAUGUCCAUUGUUCAAACCGACGUUCACCAAGUCUUCACGAAUCAUUGCAAAUUCAUGGUGGGGAAUGGCAAUUUAACAUCCUUUUGGCUAGACAGCUGGAUUGGUGACGACCCUCUCAAAACAGCCUUCCCAAGGCUAUAUCUUUUGUCUUCCUCUAAAACUGCUUUGGUGGCUGACAUGGGUAGAUGGAGCAAUGGAAUCUGGCUCUGGUCCCUACAAUGGCGCAGACCUCUUUUUCAUUUUGAACAAGAACAACUAUCACUUUUAUCAUCCUUGCUGGAAUCCAAGCCAAUGUUCUGCCACAAGAUGGAUAAGAAAAUCUGGACCCUCAACAACAUGGCCUCUUCAGUGUAAAAUCUUGCUCCAAAAUGAUGGACCAGUUACUCUACGGUGGAGCCAAACCAUUCCAAUCUUCUGUUUGGAUAAAACUAACCCCACCAAAAGUGCAGCUUUUCCUUUGGCUCCUUGUCCAAGACAAAGUAACCACAAGAGAUUUCCUAUUUCAACGCGACUACCUCUCCCUUCAGGAGUCAAGAUGUACUUUCUGCAAUAAAAGCUUGGAAUCUUCAAGUCACCUCUUCAUUCACUGCCACUUCUCUUGGAAUAUAUGGAUGAAACUGCUUUCUAAUCGGGGCUUUUGCAGUGUUUUUCCAAAAUCUGUUGAUGAUAUGUGCUACCAAUGGUCUUCUAUGGUUAAAGGCAAGCAACAAAAUCUCUCAUGGCAACUUCUUUUCUCAUGCGUUGUUUGGAAUCUUUGGCUUCAUCGAAAUGAUGUUAUUUUUAAUGACGCUGCCCCUAACCAUCAAAUAUGUUUCUCCAUGGUGCGCCAAAGUAUUGCUUUAUGGCUGAGGCUUGACUCCAACUCUUUCGAGCUUAACAUAGAGAAUGUUUAGUCGGGAGGAGUUGGUUUCUUUUGAUUGGUUUGUUCUCCUUUUGUUGCUAUCCCCUGUUUUCAUGCAACAAUUUUUGUGCUUCCCUUUCCUCUACUUGUUCUUCUGAUGUAAGUUAGGCUACUAUCUUUGUAGCUUUUUCCUUUUAAUAAAAUUUCGACUAUUAACAAAAAAAAAAAAAAGCAGUACUGCCAAUACGAGUUAUUUUUAUUUUCUUCAUUUCCAUUGAUAGUUUAAUAUCCAACUGUCAUGAAUUACCAGAUAUAUAGUUGGGGAAGUAAUCUUAGGUCUUCCCAGUAGCUGUGCCUCAUACAUUGGGACUAGUCUUUGUAAUAUUAACGUUCCCUAUUUAUUAUUUUUAUUUUCUUCAUUUCCAUAACUUCACCAAAAGAGUUAAUUAAAGUUUCAUCUAAUUAAUAGCCAAUUUACUAAAACCUCACAUCAAUGAUUCCUUGAAGUACAAUGCGAGCUGCAGAUACGAUAUUGACAGAAGCAUGCAUGGAGAUUUUCAUGCGGUGGGUGGUCACGUCUAAUUUUCUCACAUUUUUUAAGCAACAGUAGCACUAGAAUGCCUUCAGAAAACAUUGCUGUUCACAAAAUCAGAGGCUUUUCUGUCACAAUCUUGCUUUUAAUUAUAGGUUUCUUGUUCAUCACUACUCUUGUAAAGUAAAUAUGUGUUUGAAAGUAUGAAUAUUUAAAUUUUUUAUUCAUAAAUAAUUGAUAAGAUAUGAAUAUAAAAAACUUGACCCGUGAAUGUUAUGUUCAUUGUGGUCCAUCAUCUAAAUUUCCAGUUAUUUCUCUAAAUAUUUUUGAAAGGUGUGUCAUUUAACAAUAAAAUUGGAUAUAUUGAAUAAAAUUAAUAGUCUUUGCAUUAACACAGCACAUGGAAUCAACUUCAAACACAGAUAUGUGCAAGAACAUAACUAGCACGAGCUUGCAAUGAAUAAAUACCAAAGUGAAAUUUGAUGGCUUUGGAUGAAAGAAGGCGGUCAAGAGAUUCUGAAAGAGUGAAUAAAUGGAGGAAAAGAUGGAGUUGUAAUCGUGUGAACCUAAUGGACGCGUGAAAUUCUUCUAUGGCAAUUUAUGAAAUCACAAUAAUUUUUUUCUUAUGGUAAAUUAGACCUCCAACUUUUUAUGUAGAAGUUUAACCUUCAAUUUUUUUAAAAAAUCAACUUCUGGGGGCUGUGUGAACAGUUCCGGCGCGUGGAUCCACGCACCACCGCCACUAGCGGCGCGUGGGUUCACGCGCCGCCGUGAGAAAGAAGCUGGAAACGGUGCGAUCUGGCUAGCCUCUUCUCCCCCUCCUUUCCUCGCCGGUGUUACCUGCAAAAAACAAACCAAAACGCAACAGGCAGUCGAUUUUAUUAAUAAUUUUUUAUUUCUUUUGUUUUCCCGAUCUGCCUCUCUUCUCCUUCAAAUCUGCUUCGGUAUUAGCACCCCUAACACACCCUACCUGAGGUAAGCUGCUUCGUGUUCUGAUGUGAUUUGAAACUUUAAAAUAUUAAUCAAAUUCUAAGGCUUGAAUAAAUCAGUUAUUAAAUCCCCGAAUAUAUGUAGAAACUUGUUCUCACAUUUUCAUGGAAAAUACAACUUGAUUUUAUUUGUCCUUGAGAUAUUUAACCAUAUUUAAAUUAACAAUUAAAUCUUUUUGUCUUUUUUUUAUUUUUAUAAUUCAAUAACAUAAAUAAAAAAUACAAACACACACAACUUUUUUUUUUAUCAUUUAUUUUUCUUUUCUUUUCUUUUCUUUUCUUUAUUCUUUUACAAAUACAAAUUCAAAUACAAAUUCAAAAUCAAAACAAAUAAAUAAAAAUUACAUUAAUUAAUUUAAAAAUUACAAAAUAGUCCCUAAAAAAUCCAGAAAUUGCAGGGAAGGACUUCUGGGGGCUGUGUGAACAGUUCCGGCGCGUGGAUCCACGCACCACCGCCACUGGCGGCGCGUGGGUUCACGCGCCGCCGUGAGAAAGAAGCUAGGAAACGGUGCGAUCUGGCUAGCCUCUUCUCCCCCUCCUUUCCUCGCCGGUGUUACCUGCAAAAAACAAACCAAAACAACAGGCAGUCGAUUUUAUUAAUAAUUUUUUAUUUUUUUUUUUGUUUUCCCGAUCUGCCUCUCUUCUCCUUCAAAUCUGCUUUGGUUUUUUUUGCUUCUUCUUGUCCGAUCUUGCUUCUCCUUCUCUGUUUCAGGCGGCGGUGGAGUUGUGGGUGUCGCCGCUGGUUCUUCGGUGAGUCGGUUUUGUUAUGGCUUUGUCUUCUUCUCCGGUGGUAGAUCGUGUCUGUGGUCGGGUCUGUUACUGGAGGAUUUGAUUCAGUCUUGGCAAGCUGGCUGGCCGGCGGUGAAGGAGAUUCGGCUGCUCCUGUGGUGGGCUCCGUUCGCUGGUCGGUGGAAUGCAGUGGAGAAGGUUGUCCGUUCACAGUGGCUGAGAGGGAGAUCGGCGCUGUUGGUGGAGGGGAGAAGACUGGGCUGUGGGAGAAGAAAGGAAGUGAGCUGCGGUGGAGAGGUAGAGGUGGAAGGUCCAGCAGUGGUGGCUCCGGCGUGCUGGGGAGAGUCUGUGGGCUGGCUGUGAGAAGAAAAAAAAAUGGCUUUGGGGGGGAAGGGACCGGCCUGAGAUUGAGCUGAAAAUCAGGGGGUUGUGGAGUAAAAAAUUUCAAACCGGGGAAGGGGCCUGGUUCCGGUGUUGAAAGAAAAACAAAAAAUGUCAAGGGUGGGGGCGGCUGCCUUGAUUUUUUGAUGGUGGCUGCCCGGGAGAAAAAAAUGAAAUCCACCGGGGGGGUGCCUUCGUUUUUGCAUAGGGCGAGGGAGAGUGUGUGGCUGGUUUAUGAGGGGAAAGAGAAGAAAAUUAAUUACAAAGGGGCUGUCUUCGUUUUGCAUAGGGCCAGGGAGAGUGGGCAGAUGGUGAGGGGGAGCGUUUCUGGUCGGCUGGAAACAAAGAAAAGCAGACCAUGGGUGGGGCUGAGUUGCUGAUUUUCAGUUGGAAAAAUAAUGGUCUUGGACCGGGGGGGGCCGGCGGCUGUUUGAAAAAAAGUGGGGGGAGAAGAUAGGAUUAGGUUUUUUUUAUUUUUUUAUUUUUCUGGUGUUUCCAAAAUUAGCCCCCUUGCAAAAAUGAAAACCCCUCCUUGAAUGUGAGUUUAAGACCAGUAUUUAUAGGCAAAAAAUAUUGCCAAGUUUUCAAAAAUUAGUCAACUUUCUUUUUUUGUAAAAUUUGAUUUUUCUUGUUUUUUUUGUAUUUUUUAAAAACGAGCAAUAUCAACGUCGACUCAAUGAGGAAAAUCAAUGAUUUUAAAAAUGACGCGUGAAAAGUCGAACGCGUUUGAAAAAUUAAAUUCUUUUUAGACGACGUUAAAAAUGCUAAAAUGACGAAAAUAUAUUAAAAAACAUAUUUUUUUGGAUUUUCUUUGUUUUUCUCUAUUUUUUGAUUUUUUGAAAAAAUAUAUCAAAAACAUGGGUCAAAAAUUGGGUAGCAACAGAUGUCCCCUCUUUACAAUGCUUACGAAGCAAAAAUCCUCGAUGUUUUGCAUAAUAAGCUUUGUAAAGAAAAAACUUGUCUUUCUGUCUCUUUUUUUUUCAUUAACCUGAGAUCCCAUCUGGCGACCUCCUUUACCAAAACCAAAGAAUGUGUGUAGCUCGGUCAACCUGAAAUCCCAUAUGGAGAUUCCCUUUAACCAAAGCUACAUGAGAUCCCAUCUGGCGACCUCAUUCAACUAGAACAAAAGAAUGUGUAAAAAAUGGUCUCAUUAUAAUGGGUGACCUACCCAAGUGGAAAGGAGGAAGAGUGGUCUCAUUCUUUGGGUGACCUACCCAGGGGGAGGAAUGGCCUCAUUCUUAUGGGUGACCUACCCAGGUAAAAAAAAAAGGAGAAUGGUCUCAUUCUUUGGGUGACCUACCCAGAAAAGAUGAUGGUCUCAUUGUGAUGGGUGACCUACCCAAGUAGAAAAAGUGUGAAGUGUGGUCUCAUUGUAAUGGGUGACCUACCCAGAGGGAAAAAUGUGAUGAAGUGGUCUCGUUGUAAUGGGCGACCUACCCAAAUAGAAAGAAUAUGAAGUGCGGUCUCAUUGUAAUGGGUGACCUACCCAAAAAUGGAAAAAAUAUGAAGUGUGGUCUCAUUGUAAUGGGUGACCUACCUAGAUGGAAAAAAUAUGAUAUGACAACUGUGAAAAAUAGGACUUACCUGGCGAAGUCCUGAGGGGAUGACAGAAGAAGGGCUGGAAAACUUGGUGCUCCCUGAUAAUUCCCGAUCAUAGGGUUUGAAAAAAAAAUCGGUGUUUCCUGACUGCAAGGGUUGAAAACUCAAGGCUUCCCAAUUGCAAGGUUGAUCUUUUCAUUUCUUUGGGAUUUGCCUAAUGGUAGGGUUCAUCCCAUCUUCCCUUUUAUUCCAUGAUCAAAAUCAAUUCUUUAUUACCAUCACCACCAUGCUUCUUUCUUUUUCCACCAUCUUGCUGGACCUCAUUAAGGAUUUUCCUGUAAUAAUUCAAAAAUAUGUGCAAAUGGUUUUUUUUUUUUUUUGGUUAGAUGAUAUGCAUGCAUCCUUACCUGAUUCGAAAUAUAGGCCCCCCCCUCUUUGAUGCUCCAUCGUCAUAGGGUGCACUUGUCUGCAUCCCAAAGCUUUCUUUGUUCUUCCGAGGCAUUGACUCAUUCAUGUACUGGCCAUUAUUCAGCUGUAAAUGCAGUGCCCAUCCCGGGCUGUCUUCGACAAUUACUGCUCGCAUCGCUCAUUAAGCUUGACAAUGCCCCCAAGUGUGGUGUUGCUUGAUUCAUCGUGAAUAAUUUUCUCUCUUGGAUUCUUCUGAGAAUUAAUCUUUGAUUGAUUGUGUGCAUCAUGUCAACACCCCAUCAAGAUUGUUAAUCAGUCAUGAACUUGCCUUCGGUUAAAACACCAUUCAAGUGUAUGUAGUCAUCCAUAUUCAUGGAACUGCCACGUCAUUCCGACAUGCAUCUCAUACUUUGCAGAAAGCUCAUCAUUGUAAGCCGAUGUUUUCUCUAGUUCUUCUAGCAUCAAUCAGAUCGUGAAAAAAUGUGCUUUGGCAUCAUCAAUGAUGUUCAUGUUAUCACCCAUAUUCAUGCGGUGAAGUGCAUUUGAGCUUCAGAAUAGAUGGUCCCAUAGUCAAUCUUAGUGGUAUGCAUAUGUUCGAUGUUCAUUCAAAUGCACUCACCCGAUAACAUCUGUCAGAGUCAUAGCCAUGUUUUAAGGGUAACCCAAGUGAGAUAUAAAUAUCCUUCAAGUGCAGCGUUGCUCAUCAAUUGCUGCUGAAGUGCACUAAAUCAUGGAUUGUCUUUGAACAACAUUGCCCCUAGUGAUCUGAGCAUGCUCAUUCUUCUAUCUAUAAACAUAUGGCUUUUGUGAUGCCAGAUGACUUUGAUGAACUUUGAUGACUCAUCAUUGAUUCUUUCUUUGCCCCCAGCUGAUUGAAUUGUUUGCUUUCUUCUAAGGGUCCACUGUAUUGCCCCCAGGUGGUCAACUUUCAAGGAGUGUCGAGAAAUGUUGAUGUCAUUUUUGUCAAGGAUUUUGCAAACUCAAUUGAUGUUCUUGUUUGAAAAUCUUUCUUGUUCUGGAAUCAAAUCUCAACAUUUCAACGAUCAUGUCUAUUCAAGUAUAAUUGUUGAAAUGAAAUCAGAGAGAUAUAGUUUUUGAAAAGUUAUUUUUGAAAUUCAAACUUCUUUGGUCAAAGACCCAACACACUAUUCAAUGCAGUCCUUUGAUUGUCUUGUAUUUUGAAAACAGAAAUGACCCGUUGUAAGAUUUAAAAUGACUUUUUCAUGGUUCUUUGUGUCCACUUUAAACUCUGAUUUUGGGUAUAUCUUUUGAUGGUAUGGUGAGGUGAUAUUUUUGUGAAUUUCAAAAACAAGAUGCUCAGGCUUAUAAAGAAAGGUUGUUUCUUUUCUUAGUAUUUAUUUUAUCAGCAUGCAUAAUAACCAGUAGCUUAAUUCAUGAAGUCACGACCUUAUGGAAAAACUCUUCAAGUUUUGAGAUCGCCAUUUAUCGUUCAAUUGCUUGCUUGAUUAAAAAGGGCUUUUAAAAGCACGUAAUGCAGGCUAUGGUUCAUGGCUAUGAAAGAAAGGAAUUUCAUAGGCUCAAAAGGUGUUUGAGGGUUUCAACGACCUAGGACCAACAUUAACUAUUCAUCGAUUCUCUUUCUCUUGUGUCAUUGUAGAGAGUGACAUAUAACCUUGUUAAUCUUCAAAUAUCAGAAUUCUCUUAACAUAGGUCAUAAUGCAAAUCCAACUUUUCUUUGAUGAAUAACUAAUCUAAAUUUUGAAGACAUUAGAGGCUCUAUCCAGACACACCAAAAGAUAUGAAGCAUCGAUUUUUCUAGUGUUGACUUUUGGCAUUUUGUCUUUUCUCAAUUGAAAAUUGUCUUGCCUCUCUUAGAAUUGAUAGGCAUUUUCUUUCCUUUCCAUUUUUUUUUGCAUAGCCUUCCUCAAAGUUUUUCUUGGAUGGCCCUCAAUCUAUGGAUUUUCUUCUCUAGCCCUUUCUCAAACAUUGGACUUUUGUUCUAAGCUUUUCUUUGAUCCAUUGAUUUUAUCGUGUCUCCAAAAUAUUUCUCAUUUGCCCCCAGUGUGGGGUGUGAUCCUAGUCAGGGUUUUUUUGAAAAAAAUAUUCUACCAGCUCAAAAUGGGACUACAAGGGAUAUAAUUUUUAGAAAGUGAAGGAUAUCAAAGAUGGCCUUUUCUCAUUUCAAGCAAGGUCGGUUAGAACCGAUAAAUUUUGACCUCAUCUAGUGUAAUGAUUUGUACUUGCAAGAAUCAUGAUUCACGAGUCCAUAACUAUUGAAUCCACUACAUGUCAUUAUGCAUACUGCUAAAACUUAGCUAUAUGAUGUGUGGUUCAGUUUCAAAAGGUAUGAGUUCAAAAUUUUUGGUCACCUCAUGUCAUUUCAAUAAGAAUCGAGUCAUUUCUGCAAUCAAAACACUUUUAAUCUUCAGGAUUGAUUAGCCUUUAUUGCAUGUUGGAGUUUGAUCAAAAUAUUUUGUCGGAAAAAAAUGUUAAACAUCUGUUGAUUUCAAAACAACAAAGAGACAAAAGCAGGGCAUGUUUCGUUGAAGGAUGAGAUGUGAUAUCAAAACAAAAUGCAGAAUUCCAAAACAAUAUGAUUGACUGUUCAUCACCAUUCUUGAAUCAGCUUUUCUGACAAUAUUUGUGUUUUACCAAGCACUUCCGAUCACUUGUCAUUCUGAAAAUGAUUCAACAUCAUCUUUCGCAAACUCAGCUCGAUUCUUGAAACUCUUGUGUUUGUUCAACUGAAAUAGUCCGGGAACCCUCCAUGAUAUUCACAUCUGGUUUGAAUUAUACCACGGUGGUUGCAUGCAAUUUGUCAAAGUCCGGGACACUGAGUAUGGAAUCUGGCAGUGCUAGUAAAUAAACCCACAUGGCAAAGGAAUGUCUAUCUUUGGCAAAGACAUUUAAGCAAUUGAUUCUACCAUGAGACCUGACUAUACCACAUAAUUAAGGGUUCGCACCGUCAAAGUCAUCUCCUGAUUCACCUCUCGUCAUUGUUCUGGAGUCCAUGGCAGAUCCUUCAAUCUUUCCUCUUUUCAUAGCUUGUUCAAUUCUUCGGAAAAUCCUCACAGUAUCCUUCAAUCUUCCAAUGUUGUUGUGGUGGGUUGAGGAUUGUUAGAAAACUUUCCAACAGCUUGGUAAUCUUGGCAGCGCCAAAAACUUGUAGUAUCACCUCUACCAACACGUGGAAUCAUGCCUUAUCUCUUCUAUGGGAGAAAACGAUGAACAUGAAUCUCCUCUAUUUCUUCUUCGAUUCCUCUCAAACGAUGCAGCAAACAAGCACCAAUAGAGGGAGUUCUGCUCUGUUGAAGUUUCAGUCUUCUUCAUGUUUUUUUCAGUCUAGGCAUGUCUCUUCUGAGUAUUUUGCGUUUUAAAAAACUGACACUGUUGGAGGAAAAUCAUAGAUGAUCUGAAACUACUGUAUUCCUUCUUGGAUUUCCCACUUGCGGAUCCACAAACAGAUUCCUGCCGAGAGAGCUCUGCUACGUUGAAGUUUGAUGUCUGCUCAUAUUUUUCGACCAGGUCUGGCUCUUCAACCUACUAAGAGGUUUUCGUGCUGAAACUGAUGAGAGAAAUAUUGUAGCAUAUGCAACUUAUAAAUCCCCUCUUGCAUUCCAAUUUGCAGAGCCAUAAAUGGAUUUUUGUAGAGAGAGCUCUGCCACAUUGAAGUUCAGUGUUUAAUCAUGGUUUUUCAGACCAUCUUGUGCUGCUGAACUGGAAUUGAGCUCAUAAUUGGGGUAACUUCAAAGCAACUAAUGCACCAUGUACAUGAGGCUAGUAGUCGUUUGGUUCCAUUAGAUGAUGUGGAGGCGAUGAACACUUAACAAUGCAACUAGACAAGAAUCAGAGUUGUCAUUAGUUGAUGACUGAAGGCGUUGUUGUUGUUGUUCAUGACUGAAAAGGAGAGAUACAACUUCAAUUGGACGUGGACAAGCAGUGUUCCCACAGAAGACUGUGCAGACAUUCUCUUUCCAUUUGAUGCUCAACACUUGUUCGAGCAGAUCUGAGUCCAGCUAUUUCACCUUUGAUGCUCUCAAACUCAAACUGAUAAUGAGCCUCUAUCUGACACCUUUCUUCACCUCCAUCAUUUUUCUUCAAUCACGUGCAGCACAGCUUGUGCGGGGAACCUACUUUUCAACCCGGUACAUGCAUGAUAAAUGUAUGAAUAUGUAAUCUAUAUGACGAACUCACCCUUCGAGGGGUGACAAUAUGGUCGUAACUCUUGUAUGAUGGAACAAGAAUCGUGAUUUUUGCCCAAACUCUACAAUGAAAAUUUUCGGAGUGACGGCCAAUGUGUCACCCACAAGUCUUGAGUUCAAGAUGCUUCAAGAAGGGUUUGCUCGGAUGCAGAACAAUAUCACAUACAUCCUAAAGAAAGGAUCUAUUCAUUCUACGUGAGACAGGGUAGGUUUGCUACUUGGUCUUUAAAAGGGGUCUCUUGUUGUCCCAGUGAUUGCCUCGUAAAGGCAAUAUAGGGGCUUAGUAGGUAAUUGGUUGGCAUGUGUCCAACUAUUACCAGUCUAAGCACUCAACGAAGAGUUGGGGUUUACACAAACUUAAACCUUGACUCAAGUCGUAAGGUAAGCUGCUAGUCCCCCACCUAACCUAAAGCUUGUGUGUGCUUUCAAAAAUUAAAACUUGUGAUGCAUGAGAGAAUUAUAUACAAUGCAUGGAUAAAACAAAAAUAAACAAAACAAAGCAAAAAAUAAAAAAUAAAAAAUUGAACACAUCAAAACACAAAGCUUAGUCCGAUAAAGUUGAAAACAAUACCUGUCCCUAGUGGAGUCGCCAUUCUGUCGCACCCCAAAAAAACCAUCCUGGCGCGCGGCAUCGGCUGGCGAUUUUUAUCAUUUUUGUUGCGUUUGAAUUGAAUUCGUUAGGAGUCGCCACCUAGUAAUUCAUUGAGGGCUACUAGGAAACCUGAUGUACUGGUCUUGUCAGAGAUCGCGGGUAAGGGACUGGUUGUGGUUAGGGAAGGUAUUAGCACCCCUAACACACCCUACCUGAGGUAAGCUGCUUUGUGUUCUGAUGUGAUUUGAAAAUUUAAAAUAUUAAUUAAAUUCUAAGGCUUGAAUAAAUCAGUUAUUAAAUCCCCGAAUAUAUGUAGAAACUUGUUCUUACAUUUUCAUGGAAAAUACAACUUGAUUUUAUUUGUCCUUGAGAUAUUUAACCAUAUUUAAAUUAACAAUUAAAUCUUUGUCUUUUUUUUAUUUUUAUAAUUCAAUAACAUAAAUAAAAAAUACAAACACACACAACUUUUUUUUUUUAUCAUUUAUUUUUCUUUUCUUUUCUUUUCUUUUCUUUUCUUUUUUCUUUUACAAAUACAAAUACAAAUUCAAAAUCAAAACAAAUAAAUAAAAAUUACAUUAAUUAAUUUAAAAAUUACAAAAUAGUCCCUAAAAAUCCAGAAAUUGCAGGGAAGGACUUCUGGGGGCUGUGUGAACAGUUCCGGCGCGUGGAUCCACGCACCACCGCCACUGGCGGCGCGUGGGUUCACGCGCCGCCGUGAGAAAGAAGCUGGAAACGGUGCGAUCUGGCUAGCCUCUUCUCCCCCUCCUUUCCUCGCCGGUGUUACCUGCAAAAAACAAACCAAAACGCAACAGGCAGUCGAUUUUAUUAAUAAUUUUUUAUUUCUUUUGUUUUCCCGAUCUGCCUCUCUUCUCCUUCAAAUCUGCUUUGGUUUUUUUUGCUUCUUCUUGUCCGAUCUUGCUUCUCCUUCUCUGUUUCAGGCGGCGGUGGAGUUGUGGGUGUCGCCGCUGGGUUCUUCGGUGAGUCGGUUUGUUAUGGCUUUGUCUUCUUCUCCGGUGGUAGAUCGUGUCUGUGGUCGGGUCUGUUACUGGAGGAUUUGAUUCAGUCUUGGCAAGCUGGCUGGCCGGCGGUGAAGGAGAUCGGCUGCUCCUGUGGUGGGCUCCGUUCGCUGGUCGGUGGAAUGCAGUGGAGAAGGUUGUCCGUUCACAGUGGCUGAGAGGGAGGAUCGGCGCUGUUGGUGGAGGGGAGAAGACUGGGCUGUGGGAGAAGAAAGGAAGUGAGCUGCGGUGGAGAGGCAGAGGUGGAAGGUCCAGCGGUGGUGGCUCCGGCGUGCUGGGGAGAGUCUGUGGGCUGGCUGUGAGAAGAAAAAAAAAUGGCUAUGGGGGGGGAAGGGACCGGCUGAGAUUGAGCUGAAAAUCAGGGGGUUGUGGGAGUAAAAAAAUUUCAAACCGGGGAAGGGGCCUGGUUCCGGUGUUGAAAGAAAAACAAAAAAUGUCAAGGGUGGGGGCGGCUGCCUUGAUUUUUUGAUGGUGGCUGCCCGGGAGAAAAAAAUGAAAUCCACCGGGGGGGUGCCUUCGUUUUUGCAUAGGGCGAGGGAGAGUGUGUGGCUGGUUUAUGAAGGGAAAGAGAAGAAAAUUAAUUACAAAGGGGCUGUCUUCGUUUUGCAUAGGGCCAGGGAGAGUGGGCAGAUGGUGAGGGGGAGCGUUUCUGGUCGGCUGGAAACAAAGAAAAGCAGACCAUGGGUGGGGCUGAGUUGCUGAUUUUCAGCUGGAAAAAUAAUGGUCUUGGACCGGGGGGGGCCGGCGGCUGUUUGAAAAAAAAGUGGGGGGAGAAGAUAGGUUUAGGUUUUCUUAUUUUUUUUAUUUUUCUGGUGUUUCCAAAAUUAGCCCCCUUGCAAAAAUGAAAACCCCUCCUUGAAUGUGAGUUUAAGACCAAUAUUUAUAGGCAAAAAAUAUUGUCAAGUUUUCAAAAAUUGGUCAACUUUCUUUUUUUGUAAAAUUUGAUUUUUCUUGUUUUUUUGUAUUUUUUAAAAACGAGCAAUAUCAACAUCGACUCAAUGAGGAAAAUCAAUGAUUUUAAAAAUGACGCGUGAAAAGUCGAACGCGUUUGAAAAAUUAAAUUCUUUUUAUACUACGUUAAAAAUGCUAAAAUGACGAAAAUAUAUUAAAAAACAUAUUUUUUUGGAUUUUCUUUGUUUUUCUCUAUUUUUUGAUUUUUUUUGAAAAUAUAUCAAAAACAUGGGUCAAAAAUUGGGUUGCAAUAGAUUUGAUUUGAAGAAUUAUCAUCAUCAAUAAAUUUUAAAAAAACUAUUAUUACUAUCGAAGAAAAACCAUAAUUUUUUUAAAAAGAUUAAAAAUAUAAAAAUAUAAAUAUUAUUAUUGAAUUUAGUGUUGCAACCAGAUUUAAUGUUUUUAGAUCUACUCUUGCAACCAGACCUAACGCUUUUUGGUCUUAAAUUUUUAUGAUAUUUUUUAUGAAAAUAAAAGGUGAGCUCGUGGUAUAGCGUGGGCACCUAACUAAUUUAAUAUGUAUUAUGAAACCCAACCUGAAUUCUUAAUUGAAAUCUAACCCAGGAUAUAUAUUUUUAUAUACACACACUUCAAAUAUAUAUUAUCACUUUAUUUUAUUUGAAUAAUAAAUAAUAAUUAAAUAAUAAAUACUGAAAUAAAUAUUCAAAACUUGAUGAAUAAAGUAUGAAUAUUAAAAUUUUUUAUUCAUAAAUAAUUGAUAAGAUAUGAAUAUGAAAAAACUUGACUCUUGAAUGUUAUGGUCAUUGUGGUCCAUCAUCUAAAUUUCCAGUCAUUUCUCUAAAGAUUUUUGAAAGGUGUAUCAUGUAACAAUAAAAUUGGAUUUAUUGAAUAAAAUUAAUAGUCUUUACAUUGACACAUCACAUGGAAUAAACUUCAAACACAGAUAUGUGCAAGAACGUAACUUGCAUGAGCUUGUAAUGAAUAAAUACCAAAGUCAAUUUUGAUGGCUUUGGACGAAAGGUGUGGUCAAGAGUUCUGAUAGAGAAUAAAUGGAGGAAAAGAUGGAGUUGUAAUCGUGUGAACCUAAUGGACGCGUGAAAUUCUUCUAUGGCAAUUUAUGAAAUCACAAUUAAUUUUUUCGGAUGGUAAAUUACACCUCCAACUUUUUAUGUAGAAGUUUAACCUUCAAUUUUUUUUUUAAAAUCAAAACACUAUUAUUUUAUUUUUAAAAAAAAUUAAUGAGUUAAUAGUUGAAUUUGUUACUUGGUUAGCGGAUCAACUUAGAAUUUUAACAAAAUCAGCCUGGUUUUUUCAUUUAUUCUAUCGGUGGUCCAAGUUUUACAAUCAUGGGAGCUAGAAUAGUAGUAACUUUCAUAUAAUUAGAUUUAUUUAAGUAAUAUUAAAUUACAGAACUGAUUAUUUAAGAGAUUUUUACUGGAACUAAUUAAUCUUGUCUUGCACAGAACAGAUACAUCGAAAAAUGACUAAAAUGAGCCGGACAGCACUCUCGGCACUCUUAUCAAACGCCAUCGGAUUUCAUAGCGACUGAAUUGGAGGUCUGCCAUUAUUACCAGGCUUGUCCUGGACGGCUGAACCUGACUUGACGCUGGGUGCCGUCAACCACACGAGCAUUGAAAUAGACAUGCAUGGUAAUAAAUUUAAAUAAAAAAAUUAAUUUUAUUUUAUCUGUACUUAUCUAUUAAUUUAUUAUCCAAUUUUAUUUUUAGUAAUUAUUAAUAAAAAAAUUUAUUUAUUAACACAAAUAAAUUUUUAUUUAUUUAAUUAUAUAUGCAUGAAAUUUUCAAUUUGUAUUUAAAUUUUUUUUAUAUAAAAAUAUAUUGAAUAUAUAUAUAUAUAUAUUAAAAAAAUCUAGCAUGCCACGUCACGAUGAAAAUAACUGGCUACCAAAAAUAUGCAGCAUUUUUGUAAAAAAACAAAAGUAGAAAAACACUAUAACAUGUGAUUCAAUAAAAUUAAUUGCAGCAGGACAAUGGAAGAAAAGGGACAAACAUAAUUAAUUUAAUGCGAAUACUAUUCUAUGGUCAGAAAUAGAAGGGUCGCGUCGUGAAAGUGAUUACUGAGAUAAUUUCCAAAUUGACAAACGCACAGACAAAUGGAAAAGUCCACAACCUUGAAAAGCAUUAUUUCAUCAGCUAACAGAUCUCUGGGUAAUGGCAAUAAUUGUCCCCCAAUUAUCACAUGAUUUCCAGCUUGGUCCCCGAACAAAAACAAUUCCCAAUUGGAUUUUGUUAUCGAUCAAACAAUACCCAAUUAGGGUUAACUGUAGUUUUCGAAAUAGUUAUAAAAAUUGGCUUAAUAGGUUAAUUUAGUGACUCGUUGCCUCAUAGCCUCACUUGAGCCAUGUUUUACUUUGAAUUACUGUGUUUUAAACUUAAAAUAAUAUAGUAUUUUUUUUCUUAAAAUAUGGUUAUUUUAAUACACUUGUUAAUUUGCGUACCAACCUGUGAUUUAGGUUUUUGGCCAGAUUAACCCUUGAAUUGGCUAUGGUUUCAAUGGAUUUAAUUUAAGAUUUAAUGAUAAUUUUUUUUUUGGGGGGGGCGGGGGGAUAUGUUAUUUGAGAAGGAAAAAAACCGAAUUAUUUGAGAAGAAUUCAGCCACUCGUUCCAAUUUUUAUCCACCGACAGUGAUAAAAGGCAUAUAAUAUAAUUUAGCUCAUCUCUUCUUCAAAAAUAAGCAAUAGCAUAUCAUCGUCAAUUACAGCAGAAAAGACCACGGGAAAAAAAUAAUUCAUUUUAGCAUAGCUGUUAACAUGGAAAAAAAAACAAAAUUUUUUUUUUUAUUAAAACAAUAUUGUUUUAUAAAGUUAAUCUAACCAAGUUUAGAAUAGAUUCUACAAGGAUUAAUAUUUUAUCUGGUUUAAUUUAAAACUCAAUCACAAUUACGAAAGGAUCAUAAAUUUAUCGAAUCAAUAAGACCUAACUCUGUCAAUGUUAUUCGCUGGAUGAAUAAUCCUCUCAGUCGUCCCUGGAAGCAUCAUAAUUUGUUCUCCUUUGUUAAUAGACUGAAAGCAUAUUUUGGUUCAAUCACCUUCUCUCAUAUCUUUCGUGAAAGUAAUUGCAUGGUAGAUGACUUGGCUAAACAAGGAGUGCGGAGAUCAAGUGAAUUUGUUGCCUAGCUUUGAAUCCUCUAUUUUUCUAAGGGCUUGCUAUUGUUUCUUCUCCUAUUAUGUCUGUUGUAACCCAAUUUUGGAUUCACCAAGUUUUUCUCGAAUGUUAUUUUAUUUCUAUUGUUAUUUAUAAAAAUCCAAAAAAAUAAAAAAAAGUUUAAAAUUCAAAAAAAUAUUUGUUCUCGAGUCAACCGCAUCUUUCCAUCAAAACCGAGUUCACCAGGUCAAUACUGGUCAAAUCAUGUCGACCAAGGAAAAAAUGAGUUUUCAGGUUGUUUCGGGUCAAAACCGUCAUUUUCGGCCAAGACCGAGUUCACCGGGUCAAUACGGGUCAAACCAUGUCGACCAGGGUAAAAAAUGAGUUUUCAGGCUGUUUCGGGUCAAAACCGUCAUUUUCGACCAAAACCGAGUUCAUCGGGUAAAUACGGGUCAAACCAUGUCGACCGGGAUGAAAAAUAAGUUUCAGGUCAUUUUGGGUCAAAACUGUUAUUUUGUGGUCAAAACCCGGUUUACUGGGUUGAUACCCAUGAAAGGUUUUUUUUUUAAUGUUUCGACAUAAUUUUCGGUAAUUAAAAUUGAUUUUUAGCGGUUGAGUCGGGCUUUUUCUAAUACUGAUUUGAGUUUUUAAUUUUAUCUAUAUAAAUAUUUAUUAUUAUAUAUAAUAAAACAAAAAAACUUUUUUGUCAUAUUAGGCAUAUUAGGAAUAUUAGGUAAUGUUAGGUAGAGUACUUUUUCUUUUUUUCUUACAAUUAGGCAAAUUUAGGCAGAAAUCAAUUAUUAUAUUACUGUUCACUGCCUAUAAAUAGGCAGUGAGCAUCGCCAGAAAAAAAAAAAAAAAGGAGAAAAAAAGAAAAAAGGAGGGGAACGGGAAAACAAAGCCAGAGAAGAAGAGAAAGAAUGGUUACUGUGCAUAUUUUUUGAGUUUUUCUUCGCAGGAGUAGGAUAUUGUUUUCUUAAAAAAACAAUUUAAAAAAUACCAAAUAUAUCCCAACUCAUCUCAGCCAUUGAAAUAAUCCAAGACUUAAUCCCGUGAAGCCACGUCAUCCGGUGUACCGAGAUUUCGGUACACCGCGUCACACCGGAUCUAAACCCAGACUCAUCCAGACCGUGCGAUCGACCUCAGAUCUAGCCAAUCACAGCCAUCCGAUCAUUCCAUCAGAGAUCCAACGGCGCACAGUGUUCGGUACCGGUAUACCAUGCACGCGUUCACACCGUAGCCUAAUCUCGGACUCUCUCUCUCCUCUCGCCGGCGACGUUCUCUCUCUCAUCCGAUCUCCACUUUCCGGCCGCCUCCAGCCUCCGCACCACCGCAGAAAGGUUGAUCCACUGGUGUAAAGCAAAACCCCGGUGUUUGUAACCGUUUUCGCCGCCUCAUCUGGCCGGAAAAAGGCCGCGAUCCUCGCCGGCCACCGAAGCUUCAAGUCGUCGAUUCUCCCUCGUCAGCCAUCAACGGACGUCGAGACCACAACCAUCAGAAUCCUCUCCCUUAGAUCUACCAGGAUCGACGGUUCGUUUCCCAGAAAACUCGCCGGAAAAUUUCGCCAGUGCCAACAGUAGCCGCGCGUGAGCCACACGCGCCGCCAGUGGCAUUUUCGUAAAUUCCUGAAAAAUCCGAGGGUAUUUCAGUCUUUUACAUAUACAGGGGUACUCAGGUAAUUUUUGUUGAAUUCCUAACAUUUUAUUUAUGUAAAUAUUUGUAAAUUUUUAUUGCAUGUUGUAAAUAUAAAAUAAAAAAAACAAAAAAAACAAGUAUAAAAAGAAUAACGACGUGGGUCCAACGCCCAUCCCAUCAUGUUAUUGUUUGUGGGUCCAAAGCCCAAUUUUCAAAUAUAGUUAUACCCAUAUCUCAACAAUAUCAAAAUAUUUGUUUUUAUAAACAAAUAUUGUUUGUGGACACGUCUCUAUUUAUAGAAAAGGACCGAUGUCAAAUAAAAACUUUAAAAACCAAACAAAUAUGGAUUAUGUCCAUAAUUUUGUUUUUUUGGUAACUCGGACGUAAAUCUCCUUUUUAGGGUUAAACGUCGAUAUCUUAGACGAGUCUCCUAUUUUUAGGAACUGAUGUCAUUUUUAACGUGUCUCCUAAUUAUAGGGACCGACGUUAACUAUUUUAUAAACAAAACAAAAAUUACAAAUAAGCUCAAAAUAUAAUAGCAUUUGAAUCAAAUAUAAAAACACACAAGUAAGGGUAACCUUUCUUUUGAAAGGAUGUUUUAAGGGUGGUGUCUACCUUCCCUUAAUCAUAACUAACCCAGUACCUGAAUCUCUGGGACCAGUGUCUAAUUUGGGAUUUCUAGUUCCCUCAAAUUACUAGAUGGCGACUCCAAUAAAAUCUAUUUCCCCCAAUAAUAAAACAAUCUUUUUUUGUUAAAAUAAACAAAAAGAGCGGAGCCGUCGCCCGACGUCGUGUAUCGACAGAAUGGCGACUCCACUGGGGACAGGGUUGAACCAACUGCUUGUGUGUGCUUUUCAUUUUUUUAUUGCUAUUUAUUUUUUGAGUAUUUAUUUUAUUUGCACUAUUUAUUUUAUGCAAUAUCAAUUGUAAAUCAUUUCAUUUUUUAAUUACACAUGCAUGCAUGUUAUUUAUUUGUGUAUUCACACACUUAACAGUGAACCCAUAAAAGCUCUGGACCCGAGCUCGUCCUUUUUAAGAUUAGAAAAGAAAGAUUCAGGUGGCAAGUGUGACUUAUGUCCACUGAUGCUCAUAUUGGACUUUCGCUUGGAUUGUAACUCACCCUAUAUAACGGGUAUUGUGGAAUUUUCUUCCCAUACUCAUGUUGUAUAAGGUUAAGAGGCCGACUACCCCAUGGGUAAUUCGGGCAAUCUAAGAACCAAAAAAAUAUCUUCAGGGAUAGACUAAACUGAGCCAAAUCUUAUGAGCUAGAUCUUAUCAAUUAAGAUAACCUUUUAGGACACAAACAAAUGUCAAUGCAUUAACAUGCAUGUUUAUAUACAUUUCAUAUUCUCAUUAAAUCUCCACCGAUCCUUAUAGGAAGUGUAAAAAAAAAAAAAAAAAAAAAACAUUACUAUUGAGGAAUUUUUGACCAGAUCAAAAUUGAACCAACAUGAUAAAGGGGAUUGUUUGCCAUCAGAACAUGGCAUCAAAUUUCUCCCCUAAAUCGGUUCAAGUCCCUGUAGGUUUGGAGUCCUCAGUGAGAACUUUUUUAAGAGAAUUUGAUCUGGUCUGUUCCUCGUCAUAAGUUAAAGUAAAAUUUGAAACCAAUAACAAUCAUGCAUACACCAUAUGACAAUUUGCAUCCAUUUGUGCAUUUCAUUUAGUUUACUUGCAUUCACUCAGGUUGAAAUAUAGGUCCCCCAAAAGGCCGUAAAAUUCAUUACACUCGACAACGAAAGAAGAUAAUGGAGAACGAAGAAAGGGCACACCUGGAGGCUCAUUAUCAAAGAGAGUUGGAGAACAUGAAAAAUGAUAUAGCACGACUUACAAGUCUACUCGAGCAGGCCCUAGUAUCCAAGUCUGGGGAAGGCACCUCUACUCAGCCGGCAGUUGCAACUCCAUCUAUAUCUAUGCCAUCAGCUCCCUUUGUAUUCCCGCCUCAAAAUUUAGGGGCAAAUCCCUCUGCAUUUGAACAGCAGUUCACUGCCAAUGUUCCACCAGCACAAGUGCCAGUUAUGUAAAUCUGGCAACUGAUGACCCACAAAGGAUGAAAUUCUCUGAAAAUGUCGAUUAUGAUAAAUUGACCGCUCUAGAAGAAAGAUUGAAGGCAGUAGAAGGGGCAGACUUAUAUGAUCCUGUUUAUGCUGCAGAAAUGUGUUUAGUUCCAAAUGUAGUUGUACCUAGAAAAUUUAGGGUACCAGAAUUCAUCAAGUAUACUGGAACUGAAUGCCCAGUCACUCAUCUUAAAUCUUAUUGCAAUAAGAUGGCAGAAGUAGUGAAUGAUGAGAAACUUCUCAUCCAUUUCUUUCAAGACAGUCUUUCUGGAUCGGCAUUAAGCUGGUAUACAAGGCUGGAUAACACCAAGAUCAGAAAGUGGAAAGAUUUGGUAAAAGCCUUUGUGGAGCAGUAUAAAUUCAACAUGGAGGUAGCCCCAGACAGGUCAAGCUUGUUAAUCAUGGAGAAGGGCAACAAAGAGACUGUCAGAGAAUAUGCUUUGAGAUGGCGUGAAAAAGCAUCUCAUGUGCAACCCUCUUUGUUAGAAAAAGAAAUGGUCACUCUGUUUUCUAACACUUUUAAAUCUCCAUACUUUGAACACCUGGUGGGUAGUUCAGCUCAGCAUUUCUAUGAUGCUGUAACUAUCGCUGAGAGAAUAGAACAAGCGAUAAGAGCGGGGAGAAUGUCAGAGCCUACUGAGAAGAAAGGCUUUACUGGGAAAAAGGAUGCCGAUGUGAACAAUGUGGAAGGAGUGUAUAGGGGUAUGAAAAAGAAUUACCAUCAUUAUAACUUCCAAAUACCCACCCAACAAGUUGCAAGUGUAAACUUCACUAAACAUUUCCCUACCAACCAACAAAAUCAACCAAAUAACCAAGAAAGUAACCAGAUUGUUAAUCCUCCAAGAAGGAAUUUUCAAAGAACCCAAGAACGACUGCCACCAUUACCACUUCCCUUAGGAGAAAUGUACUCAAAGUUGUUGAGUAUUGGGCAAGUAGCCCCUAUUCCCUUAACCCCACUGCAACCUCCAUACCCAAAUUGGUAUAAGCCAGAUCUGAAAUGUGAGUAUCAUGCUGGCGCUGCUGGGCAUAACAUUGAAAGCUGUAAUGCAUUUAAGAACAAGCUUUUGCAAUUGAUAAAAGCUGGAUGGAUAUCUUUUGAUGAUGCACCAAAUGUGAAGUCCAACUCUUUGCCCAAUCAUGCAAGAGAAUUCAAAGAAGGGGAUCUUGUACUAUGAAAAUCUUGCCAUUACCAAGUGAAGACCGAAGCAAGUGGGCACCAAACUAUGAAGGCCCAUAUGUAGUGAAGAAAGCAUUCUCCGGAAGAGCUCUGUUGUUAACUAGGAUGGAUGGAGAUGAUUUACCUAGGCCUGUGAACUCUGACUCUGUGAAGAAGUAUUAUGUAUGAUGUGUUUCAUCCAAUCAAAUCAAUAAAGUUUUGGCCAGGAAAUUCUCUUUGCAUUAUACCUCACCAAAAAGCCCAUGUAUGAUCUCAAUGGCUCAACAAUUUGAUAAUUCAAACUUUUUUUUUACAGGAGAAUCCAUUCUUCUUAAAUGGGGUUUUAAAAGAACUGAUUUUGUUUGUGAUUUCAAUGAAAUAAAUCAAUGAUUUUGUUUGGAAUAAUGUUCAGAACAACUCCCUUGAAAGAGAUGACCAAACAAGUCAAAAACAUGCAAUCGGAACAACUAUCACCCAAAUCAUGUCUUAGAUCCACAUUUUAUCAGCAUGAAUAAUGGUUGGUAGUACAUUAGUUUGUCAUGGACUCCAAAACAUGGUCUCUUACAAAUCCAAAGCAUUACAUUGGAUGUGGACAAAGUUUAUUGGUUUUAACUGAUCUUACUUGAAAUGAGGAAAGGCCAUCUUUGAUAUUCCUUUCACUUUCUUUAAAAUUAUCCUUUGCAGUCCCAAUUUGAGCCGAGUCUAUUUAAAGCCUUUUCUUUCACAAGAACCUUAACUAAGAUCACACCCUACACUAGGGGGCAAAAAAGAGAAAUAUGAUUAAGAAAAUUGUCUUGAAGGUUGUGAGCUUAUGAAGAAAGUCUGACAAUAAAGAAUUCAAUAAAACUCCAAACAAUUGAAAGAAUUCCUAACAAAGAUGGAAUAACAAAAAAAAAACAGAAGUUCCUCAUUUGGAAUAUUUAUCAUCAUUUUUGUUGUCAAGAUAGCAAAAGAAAAUGCCAAGACAAGAUAAUAGUGAUCUAUAGUUUAUAAGCCCUUAAACACUUUUUUGAGCUUAUGGAAUACUCUUUCUUUUAUAGCCUUGAGCCAUGAAAUACAUUACGUGCCUUUGAAGUCCUUUCUAAUCAAGUAAGCAACCUGGAUCAAUAAACGGCGUUCUCAAAAUAUAAGAGACUUUUCCAUAAAGAGUCAUGGCAUAGCAAAUAAUUACUCGUUAUUAUUCAUGCUGUUAAAAAGAGUGUUUUCUAAAGAUACAAGGCAAAUUGUUUCUUUUCUCUGAAAAUACCCUCAAGAAAUCACUUGAACACUUUGAAAACCAAAGCAGAAGGUCAUCUCAUCACUUACCUUCAUCUUAGAUUACUUUUACUAAGAGAUUUGACAUAAAGCUCCAGAGUUGACUGAACAUUGUUAUAAACAGACAUUGAGAGUUUCAGUUUUCGAGAACAAAACAGAUCUUUUGAAAAAUCAUUUUUGAAAAAAGGGUUUUCUUUGUAAGAAAAAUGAAUAUACGGCACACUACGAGGCCCAUUAGAAAAUCAGGGAUUCUAAUGACAACAAGAGCAAAGGGGAAAUGAAUUGAGGCAGUUAAUUCUCCCAGGGGGCAGAGAAGCAGUUACUAGAUCCUUAAUGGCACUAAGAAAUUUGCUUCCCUAGUGGAAAAUACACAUGAUAAAACUGUGGACUUCUUCCAGCAUGAGGGUUGAAAUAGUAUGAUUUACAGUGUCCAUGAAAGGAGAUUGUUGACACUCACAAUAUGAUCAGUUAGACAACAAGAUAACUGGUACAUCUUCAGUAAGAGGAAUGCAGAUGAAAUCCUAGGUGAAGCGGGAUAAUCCUCUUACAUUGACCAUAUGAAUUGGUUAAAGAAUCUUCAAUAAUGGGAAUGUUGCCUAUAGAACAAUGUCGAGCCAGGGAGAAGUUAAUUUUCUCAGUGAAGUUACCAAUAGAGAAAAGUGCAGUGACUGUUGGGAAACUUAAACAAAGCGUAUCUUAGAAGAAUGAACAACAAGGGUCGGCUUGAGUAGACUUGAAGUACGUGUAAAUCAAAAGAGCUCACUCAAAGUCAAGACCCUCAAACACAAUGGAUGGGGAUCUAUAUUUCAAAAACAGGUAAGAUGCAUUGCAUAUCAUCUAACUUCACGAGCAUUGCAUAUUUGUUUUGCAGAUAUUUCACGAAACAAAACUCCUCAUGGGAUCCAACGAGACAAAGAUGAAUUGAAGUUCUUUUUAAAUCAUAUCAAAUAUGGCAAUUCCACAAAGGCAAAAUUCAUGAAUGAAGACGAGAAGAUGGAUUUUUAUUCAUAGGCAUAAUGGUUUACAAGUACAAACGUUAAACACUGUGAGGACGAUUAGGGAUAUUUUCAUCUUGAUGGCCAAUCAUGCCUCGGAAUUCCUCAAAUUGCUUAUGCAUGCGCUCCAUCUCUUCCUCGAACUCGAGGUGUCGAGUGUUAACAUAGUCUCUCCAAAAGUCAACACGUGCAUUGAGCUCUUGGUUUCUCCUCUCCAAUUCGUUCCUGUAACGUCUCUCAUCAUGGAGCCUUUUCCUUAAAUUCUCAAUCUGAUUAUGGAGCUCGGGAAUUUGAGUAUUCAACUCAAGUCUUCUGGCAUGAAGACGCUCCGCAACAUUCACCAAAGACGAAGUAGCUCUGAUACUAAGAGCAAGUGACUGAUUCACUGCUUCAAUAUCGGUCCUCGCUGCCAGCAUCAUUUCAUCACGAGGAAGGAUCAUGUCUCUAGCCACAGCUACAGCGGUAUCUUCAUCAUCCAUUACAGUAUCCUCUAUUGUAACUGGACGACCAUUCACUUCAAAGGUAGUACGCCAAACUACAGGCUCUGCCUCAGGAACAAGGUUUGGAUUAGCAUUGGAAGAAGAAGAAGACAUGGUUAAAACUUCAAAAGUUAAGAACUUUGAGAGUAUUGAAAAUGCGAGAAGUUGAUGAUGUCUUUUGCCCAAUACUGCGUGAUUUAUAGGGAAUCUGCUCCUACCAUCAUUUUGAACAGAAGAUGAGAUCUUAGUCGUAGAUACAAAACUUCCUUGGGAAGUUUUCCUCAUCUUUUGGGAUCCAUUUCCAAAUCAAAUCCCAACCGUACAUAUAAGACUUUCUUGAGAAGCUUUCCUGAUCCAUUUACAGAUCCAAUCUCAAUCGUACAUACAAGACUUUCUUGAGAAGCUUUCAUCAUCUCUGAGAUCGAUUUACAAAUCAGAUCUCAACCAUACAGGUAUGACUUCCUUUAAAAUUUUUCAUCAAUCUUAAAGCUCAUUGCUGAAAUCACUUUCAUGUAUUUCACAAAACCUAUAUUGAAAUCACUUUCAAGCAUUUCACCAUCGGGCAGGUCGCCUGGAACAAUUUGACCACUUGCGAGUUUCCUCGCAUUUUUUUUCACCAUCGGGCAGGUCGCCUGGAACAAUUUGACCACUUGCGAGUUUCCUCGCAUUUUUUUUCACCAUCGGGCAGGUCGCCUGGAACAAUUUGACCACUUGCGAGUUUCCUCGCAUUUUUUUUCAUUUAUCGGGCAGGUCGCCUGGAACAAUUUGACCACUUGCGAGUUUCCUCGCAUUUUUUUUCAUUUAUCGGGCAGGUCGCCUGGAACAAUUUGACCACUUGCGAGUUUCCUCGCAUUUUAGCAUCGGGCAGGUCGCCUGGAACAAUUUGACCACUUGCGAGUUCCCUCGCAUUUUAUCAUCGGGCAGGUCGCCUGGAACAAUUAGACCACUUGCGAGUUUCCUCGCAUCAUUUUUUUUUUAUCGGGCAGGUCGCCUGGAACAAUUAGACCACUUGCGAGUUUCCUCGCUUUUUUUUCAUUUAUCGGGCAGGUCGCCUGGAACAAUUGACCACUUGCGAGUUCCUCGCAUUUUAUAUCGGGCAGGUCGCCUGGAACAAUUUGACCACUUGCGAGUUUCCUCGCAUUUUAUCAUCGGGCAGGUCGCCUGGAACAAUUAGACCACUUGCGAUUUGCUCCAUUUUCACCAUCGGGCAGGUCGCCUGGAACAAUUAGACCACUUGCGAUUCUUUGAUUCCAUUUUCACCAUCGGGCAGGUCGCCUGGAACAAUUAGACCACUUCACAAAAUUCUUUGAUUCCAUUUUCACCAUCGGGCAGUUUUCAACAUCGCCAUCGUUUUUCUUUACAAAACUUACUAUGCAAAGUCAAAAGAAAAUGAAUUUUCCAAUGUCUUUGCACCGUAAGCAUUGUAAAGAGGGGGCAACUGUUGUAACCCAAUUUUGGAUUCACCAAGUUUUUCUCGAAUGUUAUUUUAUUUCUAUUGUUAUUUAUAAAAAUCCAAAAAAAUAAAAAAAGUUUAAAAUUCAAAAAAAAAUUUGUUCUCGAGUCAACCGCAUCUUUCCAUCAAAACCGAGUUCACCAGGUCAAUACUGGUCAAAUCAUGUCGACCAAGGAAAAAAUGAGUUUUCAGGUUGUUUCGGGUCAAAACCGUCAUUUUCGGCCAAGACCGAGUUCACCGGGUCAAUACGGGUCAAACCAUGUCGACCAGGGUAAAAAAUGAGUUUUCAGGCUGUUUCGGGUCAAAACCGUCAUUUUCGACCAAAACCGAGUUCAUCGGGUAAAUACGGGUCAAACCAUGUCGACCGGGAUGAAAAAUAAGUUUCAGGUCAUUUUGGGUCAAAACUGUUAUUUUGUGGUCAAAACCCGGUUUCACUGGGUUGAUACCCAUUGAAAGUUUUUUUUUUUAAUGUUUCGACAUAAUUUUCGGUAAUUAAAAUUGAUUUUUAGCGGUUGAGUCGGGCUUUUUCUAAUACUGAUUUGAGUUUUUAAUUUUAUCUAUAUAAAUAUUUAUUAUUAUAUAUAAUAAAACAAAAAAACUUUUUUGUCAUAUUAGGCAUAUUAGGAAUAUUAGGUAAUGUUAGGUAGAGUACUUUUUCUUUUUUUCUUACAAUUAGGCAAAUUUAGGCAGAAAUCAAUUAUUAUAUUACUGUUCACUGCCUAUAAAUAGGCAGUGAGCAUCGCCAGAAAAAAAAAAAAAAAAAAGGAGAAAAAAGAAAAAAGGAGGGGAACGGGAAAACAAAGCCAGAGAAGAAGAGAAAGAAUGGUUACUGUGCAUAUUUUUUGAGUUUUUCUUCGCAGGAGUAGGAUAUUGUUUUCUUAAAAAAACAAUUUAAAAAAUACCAAAUAUAUCCCAACUCAUCUCAGCCAUUGAAAUAAUCCAAGACUUAAUCCCGUGAAGCCACGUCAUCCGGUGUACCGAGAUUUCGGUACACCGCGUCACACCGGAUCUAAACCCAGACUCAUCCAGACCGUGCGAUCGACCUCAGAUCUAGCCAAUCACAGCCAUCCGAUCAUUCCAUCAGAGAUCCAACGCGCACAGUGUUCGGUGGUACCGGUAUACCAUGCACGCGUUCACACCGUAGCCUAAUCUCGGACUCUCUCUCUCCUCUCGCCGGCGACGUUCUCUCUCUCAUCCGAUCUCCACUUUCCGGCCGCCUCCAGCCUCCGCACCACCGCAGAAAGGUUGAUCCACUGGUGUAAAGCAAAACCCCGGUGUUUGUAACCGUUUUCGCCGCCUCAUCUGGCCGGAAAAAGGCCGCGAUCCUCGCCGGCCACCGAAGCUUCAAGUCGUCGAUUCUCCCUCGUCAGCCAUCAACGGACGUCGAGACCACAACCAUCAGAAUCCUCUCCCUUAGAUCUACCAGGAUCGACGGUUCGUUUCCCAGAAAACUCGCCGGAAAAUUUCGCCAGUGCCAACAGUAGCCGCGCGUGAGCCACACGCGCCGCCAGUGGCAUUUUCGUAAAUUCCUGAAAAAUCCGAGGCUAUUUCAGUCUUUUACAUAUACAGGGGUACUCAGGUAAUUUUUGUUGAAUUCCUAACAUUUUAUUUGAUGUAAAUAUUUGUAAAUUUUUAUUGCAUGUUGUAAAUAUAAAAUAAAAAAAACAAAAAAAACAAGUAUAAAAAGAAUAACGACGUGGGUCCAACGCCCAUCCCAUCAUGUUAUUGUUUGUGGGUCCAAAGCCCAAUUUUCAAAUAUAGUUAUACCCAUAUCUCAACAAUAUCAAAAUAUUUGUUUUUAUAAACAAAUAUUGUUUGUGGACACGUCUCUAUUUAUAGAAAAGGACCGAUGUCAAAUAAAAACUUUAAAAACCAAACAAAUAUGGAUUAUGUCCAUAAUUUUGUUUUUUUGGUAACUCGGACGUAAAUCUCCUUUUUAGGGUUAAACGUCGAUAUCUUAGACGAGUCUCCUAUUUUUAGGAACUGAUGUCAUUUUUAACGUGUCUCCUAAUUGUAGGGGACCGACGUUAACUAUUUUAUAAACAAAACAAAAAUUACAAAUAAGCUCAAAAUAUAAUAGCAUUUGAAUCAAAUAUAAAAACACACAAGUAAGGGUAACCUUUCUUUUGAAAGGAUGUUUUAAGGGUGGUGUCUACCUUCCCUUAAUCAUAACUAACCCAGUACCUGAAUCUCUGGGACCAGUGUCUAAUUUGGGAUUUCUAGUUCCCUCAAAUUACUAGAUGGCGACUCCAAUAAAAUCUAUUUCCCCCAAUAAUAAAACAAUCUUUUUUUGUUAAAAUAAACAAAAAGAGCGGAGCCGUCGCCCGACGUCGUGUAUCGACAAUGUCUAUGAGUAUUUUCUGUUUUGUUUUUUGAGGAAUGUUUAGCUUCAGCUUAUUUGAAUGGAUUUUGUAUGGUUUUCUUUGCUUUGGUUUAUCUCAAGCUGCGUUUUAUUCUUCAUAUGGCUUUAUGCCAUAUUAAGAUAUUGUGUAGCUUAUGUACUAUUCCCGUCAGACUUUGACGCUUAUAUAAUAUACGCAUCUUUCAAAAAAAUAAGACCUAACUUGAAUGCAUUUUUUAGCAUGCGAGAAAAAUGUCAACAAGACUCCAUUUGGUAUUCAUUUUUCAUCACUCUGAUAUUUAUUACAGUGCAUAAGAUCGCUUAUUAUCACCUGCUUCCUGGCAUGUAGCCUAUCGUUCAAAUUGAGCUAACAAGCAUGCUAUCUGGCCCAGCCAAGUUUGCGUUGACUACGCUGCAGUUCAACCUGAUCUCUCCUUCAGUUCCUGUCAGAGGGCUGAGAUUUCCCAUUCUUAUCAUGGACUCCACAAAGCUUUCAAAGAAAGCUGUUUGAUUAGCACUGAAAGCGUUAACAAGUGCAAUGACAUCAUCUGCACCAGGAGUUGAAAACAGUACUUGAUCCGUCUGAAGCAGGCCUUGGUAACGUUGCAGAUUGGAGUAGUAGUUACUGUCAAAGGCAUCCGGUGUUGUGAGAUCUAGAUCUGUUAUCACACUCCCAUUUCCACCUUGGGGACAUAAUUCCUGAAGAUCUGCUAGAAGAGUUCUGUUCAGUGACGGGUCAGGAGCACCGGUGCCGUUGAAAUCAUACAAUCGGUGGCGGAAUGUAGAACAUUGUGCCCUCCCAAAUGUGUGAGCACCUGAGAAGAUAAGAAGGAAAUUACAUCAAAGGAGAAUCAAUUAUAACAGAGUUUUACGGUUUAGAGUUGAGCCUGACAAAUAAUACUUACCAGAUAGAGCUACCAAAUCACUAUUAUUGUUAAGGCUGACAUUAGUGAAGCUCUCUCUGAGUUGAUCAAGGGUUAAAAAAGGGGAUGGAAGGAAAGCAUCUGCUGCAUCUCGGCUUGCUGUUGUGCUAUCUCUUCUUCCUAAUGGAACUGUCCAAUUUGGACCUCCUGCCUGCAACCAUGCAUAGUUAGGGGUUACUACUUUUCAACUCUUAACGUUUUUCUAUCUUAACUCCUUUAGUCCAAACCUUCAUAAAGUCAUGUAAAAAAUCAAGUAAAUCUCAGCUUCUUUCUUUCAUUCAAUUAUGACAAACUAUGAUAUUUGUGUUCUUCGUGCUUUGACUAGAAUAUUUAGACAACAAGAUAUCAUUUUAUGAUUUGGGGGGUUGAGGGAUCGAUCAUUUUAAGAUACCAAGCAAACAGAUUCUUCAGCUGCAAUAGCGAGUAUAUCAGCACAGGAAACAGUAGCAGGACAGGCACUCUCCAACAAAGCCUUCAUUCUAUCAACAACUUCAAAACCUCUUGCAGAGUUGUUGUUCCCUCGGACUUCCUUUUCGCUCACUAUAGUAUCAGAAUCGUCCAACAAAAGCGAACCAUCGCAGCCCUGAAAAUAAAAUAAAAAACUUGAGAAUCACAACUUAGAUAGAAGGUUUAAUGUAAUUAAGCAAAUAUAAUAAGAUGUUUCAAAGUAAUUACAUUAACAAAGCAGUCAUGGAAGUGGAGCCUGAUGAGGCUGGCUCCAAUCCGAGGAUCGGAUGCCAAUGUCUCCGUAAUGACAUUACGGAUAAUGCUGCUCACAUUGGGACAUGUCUGGUCAUAAAAUGUUGGGAGUAAGCUGGCCAUAAGCCAAUGUUCCUCCAAGCAAAACUACAAAGAAAAGAGCUGCAACUAUAGCCUUAGAAAUAUGCAUUUUUCUCCAAUUUCUCCAAUGAAAUUGUUCUUGUCAAUGUUAAAACUUGCAUGGGAACUCAACGAUGUUAUAGUUUAUAUAGUGAUAAAGAGGUUUGGAAGCUAAGAUGCGGUGCUUUGAAUUUUUCAACAAGAAUAGCGGUGCUUUGAAUGUUUUAUCAAGAAUAGUAGCAGGUGAGGUGUUUGAGAUAGUGAUGUUUGAUUUUUAAAAUGUUUUUUAUUUUAAAAUGUAUUAAAAUAAUAUUUUUUUAUUUUUAAAAAUUUAUUUUUUAUAUCAGCAAAUCAAUUUAAUUGAAAUAAAAAAAAUAUUUCAAAAAUUUUGAAAAUUUCAAUUGAAUAAUUGUCGAUAAUGACAUGUUUCUCAAGUGAUAUUAGGUGGUGAUCACAAAAACAGGUUGGCGGGCUACAAUGUUGAAUAAUAAAUUUAUUAAAUUCAACUUUAAUAUGCCUGACUUUUAUUUGUGGAUGGUGGCCAGCUUAGCUAAAGUUCAAUAGAAGGAUCUAAAUUCUACUAUCCUAAUUAAUAUAUAGAGCUUCAACUUAAUGAUUACCAUUAUUAUGAUUUAACCAAUCUUAAAUUUCUUAAAAUAUGAGUGUCUUUACCGUCUAAUACAUGUUUAAGAAAGUUUCGAGAAAAUAGCAUUGUUCUAAAAAGAUUUUGAAAAUAUUACAUGUAAAAUCUGAGAGUUUUUUUUUUUUUAAUAAGAAAAACAAAACCUUAGUUCUCAUCACCUUUUUUAGAAAACUCUUCAGCUUUUUUAUUGGUUGUCCUGUUUUUGAAAUAUUUUUUUGUGCGAGUUUACUAAUUUAUCUUUAAAUUGUGCUAUUUUAAAAAAAACAAUAACAAAAUUAAAAAUAUAUCAUUUGCAUUCCAAUUACAAGUUUUUGUUCAGAAAAGUAGAGUUUUCUUUUCAUUAAAAAAUUAUAGCUCAACAAGUCAAAAUUUUUAUUUGCUUUUUAAAAUCACUAGUUUAAAUGUUAUAAAUUUCAGAAUUAUUAGGGAAUUAAAUAGUUAUUAAUUUUAGAACCUUAAGAGAUGAGUUGAUAUACACAUAAAUUGACUUGAAUAUCUAUUAUUAAAAUAAAAAAUAGGAUGAUAUAACUCCUUGAUUGUAAAAGUGUUGUUAAAAGUGUUGUUGGAGAUUAAAUCUCCUCGGUCAAUACCUUAAUAAAGAAAACACAAGCAAGAAAUUUCCUCGAUCAAUAUUUAUCAAAUAGCACAAUAACAUUUUUAUUUAUUUAUUUUAUGACUAUGCCUUUUGUAAUAGCUACUCUUCUAUGCAUAUGGGGCCUAUACAUAUAUAGUUAGUUUCUACCACUGGGACCGCCUGCUACAUGAAAUAGUAAUUUUAGAUUAACAUUUUUCUUGUAAAAACAUUGCAUUACCAUAUAUAUUUCAUGGCUUGAUUUAAUAGCAAAUUCCUAGUUAAUUUAAGCCGACAUGCAUGUACACCUUGCAAGCUUUUAUUGUUCCUUGCAUUGGAAGCUAGCUAUAAAGUGAAAGAAUUAGUCAUGUUCCUUUUCUUCUAGUCUUAUCUGGAUUUCUGUUUCUCGUGAUUAAACAGGAAAACACCACCAGUUUAAUUCAUGACUCCCUAAUUUGGGGCUGUCCUGAGCCAAGUUAAUGGAAAACGCUGUUUUUUUCUUUUUUAAAAAAUUCUAUCUCUUUUUAUUAAAAAAAGUUUAGAUUUUGACUUGACAGUCUAUCCUCACCCACAACUCAAAUUGUUACUGCAAUAAAAUCUUAUAACUAUAAUCAAAUAACAUUAAAUUACAUUCCUGAUCCAUGAUGAAGAUCUUCUUAGUGAUGUUUUAAUUUUAAGUUUAGCUAAACAUAUCAAGGAAUGUUUAUUUCAUAAAAAGUGAUUUUUUAAAAAUUAUUUUAAAAAUUUUUAUGUGUGUUUAUUUGUUAUUAAAACAAAUUGAUCAACGAAAAACACCUUUUAGUCAAAUAAAAAUUUAGUUUGGUUUCUAAAAGAGUGUUUUUUGAUUUAUUUUGGGCAGAAAUCACUUUUCAGAAGUUAUAAAAAAUUUACAAAUUUCAUAUUAUUUGCUGACGAUAUCAAAUUUGGUCCUCAAACUUUUGAUUGUUAUAUAUUUUGUUUUGAAUUUUUUUUUUAAAUUUUAUCCCUUAGAAUUUGACUUAAUUUUAUUUUUAUAUUAAAUUUGGUUCUCAUUUUUUAGUUGUUAUUUCUUUCUCUCUUAUCAUUUUUUAAUUGAAAUUUUUUAUCUAUUAAAUUUGGUCCUUAUUCUUUUGGUUGUUACUUAUUUUAUUUGAUAUAAUUUAUAAAAUUAUAAUAAUUAUUAUUAUAAUUUAUGAUGUUUCAAUUUUUUUAUCUAUUAGAUUUGAUCUUUAUUAUUUUGAUUGUUAUUUAUUUUAUUUGAGAUAAUUUAUGAAAUUAGAUUUUUUUUUAAUUUCAUUCUCAUUCAACUCUUUUAAUUUGUAAUAUUUGUUCCUCAUUAUUUUAAUUAACUUGGAAAAAAUAAAAUAUUAAUAGGUUAUUUUCCAGCUUAUCUUUUAUGACAUAACCAAACAUUAAAAAAUAUUUUCUAAUUUAUUUUUCAUGAUUCACUUUUCUAAAAUUUAUUUUCUAGAAAAAUUAUUUUCAAAACAAAUUAUUUUCCACCAAAUAAACGUGAUUUAAAAAUGAAAUUAUAAAGGUAUAGUUUAUCUUACAUAAACAAUACCUCGUAUGAAGGUUUAUAUUACAUUAAUAUCUACGAAAAAGAGAAAAACAUUGUCAAGAUCAAACUAUGAAGUAUAGUUUUGAAACUUGGCCUGGCUUGAUGAGUCGAUCUGGGGAUGAAAUUGAACCGGGUUGAAGAAAAAAUAAAGGAAGGAAAAACCUGGCCUGGAUCGACGGGUUGACCAGGCGAUCCGGUCAAAACCAGGCCGCAAACCCGUUGAUUUUUAUUUAUUUUUAUUUUUAUUAUUAAAAUGACGUUGUUUUGAAUUUUUUAAAAUAAAAAAUUUGACCUGGCCGAUCCGGUGACCCGGUCAAUAUCCGGAACCCAGGCCUUAAAACUAUGCUUCCAAGAAAGAAAUUUAAAGCAGUACUGCCAAUACGAGUUAUUUUUAUUUUCUUCAUUUCCAUUGAUAGUUUAAGAUCCAACUGUCAUGAAUUACCAGAUAUAUAGUUGGGGAAGUAAUCUUAGGUCUUCCCAGUAGCUGUGCCUCGUACAUGGGGACUAGUCUUUGUAAUAUUAACGUUCCCUAUUUAUUAUUUUUAUUUUCUUCAUUUCCAUAACUUCACCAAAAGAGUUAAUUAAAGUUUCAUCUAAUUAAUAGCCAAUUUACUAAAACCUCACAUCAAUGAUUCCUUGAAGUACAAUGCGAGCUGCAGAUACGAUAUUGACAGAAGCAUGCGUGGAGAUUUUCAUGCUGUGGGUGGUCACGUUUAAUUUUCUCACAUUUUUUAAGCAACAGUAGAACUCGAAUGCCAUCAGAAAACAUUGCUGUUCACAAAAUCAGAGGAUUUUCUGUCACAAUCUUGCUUUUAAUUAUAGGUUUCUUGUUCAUCACCUCUCUUGUAAAGUCAACGUGGGUUUGAAAGUGUGAUUAUAAUUGUUUUUUAAAGUAAUUUUUAUUUUAAAAAAUAUGUUAAUAAUAUAUAUUUUUUAUUUUUUAAAAAUUAUUUUUGAGAUUAGUAAAUUAAAAUGAUUUAAAAACAUUAAAAACAUAUUAAUUUAAAAUAAAAAUAAAAUAUUUAAUUUUAAAAGAAAACACUUUUAAAAUACAAUACCAAAUAUACCAUUAAAAGCAGUCAGGACGACAGUAAGUUUGAUUCCCUCAUUUGUGCUUUUUUUUCUUCUUCUGCUUAUUAUAGGAGUAAUAGAAUUCAACAUAUGUUAAUUCAUAAUUAAUGAAAAAAAAAAACACUCAUGGUGGUAAUGAGGUAACCUAGAUCGAAUGAAGGAUUAUUAGCAAGAAAGUUUUGAUAAGUUAAGUUAUCAUUCAUAAUUUUUUUCUGUUUACCUAACAUCGUAUAGUUCUUGAUUUAUUUAAUUAUAUAUAUGUAUAAUAUUUUUAAUUUAUAUUUAAUUUGUUUAUAUGUAAAAAUACAUUAAAAAAUCCACAUGUAUAAUUUUUUAUAUAAAAAAAUCUAACAUACUUCUGAACACGAGUAAAAUUAAGAAUAAACUAAAACUGCUCAGUGUUUCACUGUGCAAGUCCACAGUGAAACGUUGAGCUGUCUUCUUUUUUUUUUUUUUUUUUUUUUUUUGCUUUUAACUUUUUUUUAGGCUGUUUUUUUUUUCUUUGUUUUUUAGCUGUUUUAUUUUUUUUAAUGAUUUUUUAAAAAAAAAUUUGUUAAUAUUAAAUUUUUUUUUAUUUAGUUAUCAAAUUUUUAUAGUACAAGUUUGAGUUCGAUGGAUUAACCUGGAUUUUUUUUCUAGUUUUUCUUUUUAAUUAAAUUUUUUGAGUGCAGUCCACAGUUAAACGCUUAGCUAUCUUUUUUUUUUUCUUUUAAGCUGUUUUGUUUUCUUUGUUUUUUUAAUUAUUUUUUUUUUGUUUAUUUUUUUUUAAUGUUAAUUUUUUUUCUAUUUAGUUGUCAAACUUUCAUUACAUUGGUUCUGAGUUUGACGCGUUAACCCUGAUUAUUUUUUUCUGGUUUUUCUUUUUAAUUAAUUUUUUUGAGUGCAAUCACAGUGAAAUGCUUAGUUGUCUUUUUUUUUUUUUGCUUUUUUUUUAAAGUUUUUUUUUUUUUUUUUUUAAGUUGUUUUGUUUUCUUUGUUUUUUUUUAAUGAAUUUUUAUUUGUUUAUGUUAAAUUUGUUUCUAUUUAGUUAUCAAACUUUCAUUACAUGGGUUCCGGGUUUGACGCGUUAACCCGGAUUUUUUUUGUUUUUCUUUUUAAUUAAUUUUUUCAUUUAAUUUAGUUUGUUAAUGUUAAAUUUUUUCUAUUUAAUUAUCAAACUUUCAUUACAUGGAUUCCGGGUUUGACGGGUUAACCCAGCUAUUUUUGGGUUAACCCGUAAAUUAUUUUUUCCCUAUUCAGUUAUCAAACUUUAAUGACACGAAUUCCAUAUUUCACGGGUUAACCUGGUUUGAAGGAUUAACCCAGAUAAUUCAUAUUUUUUUUCUUUUUCUUCAUUAGUUUUUUUCUUCAUGUAGGAUUUUUUAAAAAAAAUUAAUAUUUUUUUUGUUUCGUAUUUUUUUUUUUUUUUUUAAUUUUUUAUUUGUUAAAUUAGUUUUUAUUAAGUUUUUUUAUAUUUAGUUAUCAAACUUUCAUGAUACGAAUCCCAGGUUUGAUGGAUUUUUUUCCUUUUGUUCAUUAGUUUUUUUUUUCUUCCUGUAGUUUUUUUUUUCCUUUGUUUUUGUUCAUUUUAGUUUAUUAAUGUUAAUUUUUUUAUAUUUAAUUAUCAUACUCUCAUGACACGAAUCUUAGGUUUGACGGGUUAACUAGAUUUGGCGGGCUAACCCAGUUAAUUCAUUUUUUUUUUCUUCCAAUUUUUUCUUUAAAUAUUGUAAUUAACAAUAACUAAAAGACAUCAAUCUUUUUUCUUCCAAUUUUAUAACACGAAUCCCAGGUUUGAUGAGUUAAACCAGUUAAUUAAUUUUUUUUUCUUUUUCUUAAGUAGUUUUUUUCUUUCAAUUUUAUUUUUUAAUAUCGAUUUGAUUAAGAAUUAAACUUUAUGAUUUAUUUUGUUUACUGGUCAUUAAAUUAUUGUGAUCUCAUGAGGGGAUUUUACCGUGCCCCUCCUUGCAAAGCACUAUUCAUCAGAAUAAUACUUUGUUUUAUUGUUUAUUUCUUUUCAAUUAAUUUUUUUUAAUUUCAUUAUGUAAUAUUAAUUUUUUUUUCUUUUUAAUUAUCACACUUCUAUAACAAAACCUUGCAACCAGACUCAUAUCAAAGGCUCCGUGUUUGAUGUUGCCACCAAACUCACUUAAAUUUGGGCUAUGCAAGUUUAAUAUUAUUAUUAAUAUAACUUUUGAAUCAAGAGUAACAGAUAGACCCAAUGCUUUUAAGUAUAACUUUAUAGAAAAACCUAACACUCUUAAAUUUUAACUUUUUUGAAUAUUUUUUAUAUAAAAAACAUUGACCCGCAGCGUAGCGCGGGCCACAUUUCUAGUAGCUAACUAUAACCAGAAAUGGAGCAUUUUUGUUACAACGAAAAAGGGGAGAAAAACACUGUAACAUCUAAUAAUUUUCCUUAGUGUAUUUAAUGCUACAUAAUUCAGCAAAAUUAAAGGAAAAGGAAAGAAGGACAAACAAAAUUAAUCUAAUGCGAACACUCUUCUUUGGUUAGAAAUAAUUGUCCACAACCUAGAAAAGCAAAUGGAAAAGUCCACAACCUUGAAAAGCAUUAUUUCAUCAGCAAACAUAUCUCUGGGUAAUGGCAAUAAUUCUCCCCCAAUUAUCACAUGAUUUCCAGCUUGGUCCCCGAACAAAAACAAUUCCCAAUUGGAUUUUGUUAUCUAUCAAAUUAACAAUACCCAAUUAGGGUUAACUGUGUAGUUUUCCAAAUAGUUAUAAAACUUGGCUUUAUAGAUUAAUUUAAUGACUCGUUGACUCAUAACCUCAUUUGAGCCAUGUUUUUCUUUGUAUUUUAAACUUAAAAUGAUAUAUAUAUUUUUUGUAAAAUAUGAUUGUUUUAAUAUAUUUGUUAAUUUACGUAUCAACUUGUGACCUAGGUUUUUGGCCAGAUUGACCCUCAAAUUGGGUAUAACUAUGGUUUUAAUGGAUUUAAUUUAAGAUUUAAUGAUAUUUGAAGGAAAAAAACCGAAUUAUUUGAGAAGAAUUCAGCCACUCGUUCCAAUUUUUAUCCACCGACAGUGAUAAAAGACAUAUAAUAUAAUUUAGCUCAUCUCUUCUUCAAAAAUAAGCAAUAGCAUAUCAUUGUCAAUUACAGCAGAAAAGAUCAUGGGAAAAAAAUAAUUCAUUUUAGCAUAGCUGUUAACAUGGAAAAAAAACAAAUUUUUUUUUUAUUAAAACAAUAUUGUUUUAUAAAGUUAAUCUAACCAAGUUUAGAAUAGAUUCUACAAGGAUUAAUAUUUUUUUCUGGUUUAAUUUAAAACUCAAUCACAAUUACGCAAGGAUCAUAAAUUUAUCGAAUCAGUAAGACUUAACAUUUAUGCAUUUUUUAGCGUGCGAGAAAAAUGUCAACAAGGCUCCAUUUGGUAUUCAUUUUUCAUCACUCUGAUAUUUAUUACAGUGCAUAAGAUCGCUUAUUAUCACCUGCUUCCUGGCAUGUAGCCUAUCGUUCAAAUUGAGCUAACAAGCAUGCUAUCUGGCCCAGCCAAGUUUGUAUUGACUACGCUGCAGUUCAACCUGAUCUCUCCUUCAGUUCCUGUCAGAGGGCUGAGAUUUCCCAUUCUUAUCAUGGACUCCGCAAAGCUUUCAAAGAAAGCUGUUUGAUUAGCACUGAAAGCGUUAACAAGUGCAAUGAUAUCAUCUGCCCCAGGAGUUGAAAACAGUACUUGAUCCGUCUGAAGCAGGCCUCGGUUACCUUGCAGAUUGGAGUAGUAGUUACUGUCAAAGGCAUCCGGUGUUGUGAGAUCAAGAUUUGUUAACACACUCCCAUUUCCACCCUGGGGACAUAAUUCCUGAAGAGCUGCUAGAAGAGUUGGGUCCAGUGAUGGGUCAGGAGCACCGGUGCUGUUGAAAUCAUACAAUCGGAAGUCGAAUGUAGAGCAUUUUGCCC
rnacentral:lncRNA from 1 species